UGUGGUUUCGUACUUUCUCACUUUAGUACCAUGUGGUUUAAAGUGUAUCAAGUUAGUAUCCUAUGAUUUUAUUUUUUUCUUUUCGUCAGCUCCUCCGUUAAUAUUUCGUUAAAUUAUAUACAAAAAAUUUCAGAAACCCCUCCUAGGUUUAUCGAAUAUUCACUUUAGUAUCUCUUAAUUUUAACUUUGUCACUGAUUUAACAAAAAAAUAUUAGUGGAAUGAAUAAUAAAAAGAGAAAAAUAAAAUAAAAAAGAUACUAAAUUGAUAUACCUUAAACUGUAAGCUACUAAAAUAAGAAAGUAUGAAACCGCAGGGUUGUAUUUGAAGUUUUCUCAAAAAAAAAAAAAAAACUGUAAAAGAUUAUAAUUUUUAACAUGUGGACCGAGCAGUUACAUAUUAUCAUGUCCAAGUCCAAUGUAUGUGGUGGAGAUGGAUCAUAGUGGACCGGGUCCAGGAUCGCGGGCCGAAAUCCGGUCUAGAAUUGCCCGUUAAAUUGAACCCAUAGCCCAUCAAACCCUAAUUUUCGCUCCUCAACUCAACUCUCUCUCUCUCUCUCUUUCUCUCUCUCUCUCUCUCAAUCUCAAACCCUAGCCGCGCCUUAAACCCGCUCUGCUCUACCUCCCCUCUCUCUCUCCAUCUCCGCUCGUCUCCUCCCCCUCCACCGGACGCCGCCACCGGACGCCGACGCCGAAGCCGACGCCACCUCCAAGCUAGGGUUUGGAGAUGCGGCUCCGACGAGUAAUGGCGAUCUAGGUUUCCCAUGAUCGGCUCCAAGAAGCGGAGCAUAGAGUGAUGGCGUUAUCUAGGGUUUUGAGGAGUAUUGCUCGACCUUUGGCUGCUACUCUCUCUCCACCUCCCUCCCUCUCACUCUUGAGUAAGGCUUCGUCUACCCCUCUUCCUCCAUUUGAUCUGGCAAGAGGAGGAUUUGCCCCGACAAUUGGGAAGGUUUUGAAUACGGCGAGGUUUUGUUCUACGGCAACGAUCGGAAGCUCCUUUGGUAGCUUAACUGAUACUAGGUUCCCGAAGAGAAGGCCCGGGACGAAGCCUCGGAGGAAGAGGGCGAGCCUCAGACCUCCAGGUUUCGAUCUAUUCAACUAAUCUUUGUUAUGAAUCUUCCUUUUAUGCAUGCUGUUGAUGUGAAUGAUAAGUGUAGGUUUUGCAGACUAAUUUUGCUUUGACAAGGAAUUUGGCUAUGAGUCUAUCCGGCUUUGAUGUUAGAUUUAUCUGUAAAGAUGCUUCAUUUUGAGAAGAUAUUGAAGAAUUAGCAAAAAAGAUAAAUAAAGAGGUUUUUCGGGUCACAUUUGGUUGGAAAGGGUGAAUUGUGGGUUGGAUUGGAGUGGCAAACAGUUCCAGCUGACAUGUAUAUUUUGUUAAUAAUGUGUGCGGAUAUAUAAUGUUUGGAAUAACACUUUUGGUGACAUGCCAUGGUCAAAUGCAAAUGAAGAAAAAAAAGAUAGGUUUUGGACUUUGUGUAAUUUUCUAUAAUCGUCUAUGCUGAUGAUUUUUUAGUGACAUAACAAAUGAAAAAAAUUUGAUGAAUUAUUAAACACUUUGUGUAAUUUCUAUAAUCGUAUAUGCUGAUGAUUUUAAAGUGAUUUUAUAAUUGAAAUUUUUGAUGAAUUAUUAAGCAUUUGAACUAUGGCCCCUCGUUUUCACCUUGCUUAGCACCGGCAGUGCUGCUGGUUCUUGCUAUACCUUUACUGUGUAUGAUCCUACUUUUAUUUUAUUUUCUGUUUUGAUUUGUACUAUUUUUAUGGUGUUGACGGCUUGAAACAUGAGGUGGUCAGCAUUGGUUGUUGUUUUAGCUUGAUACGUCGAUGCCUAUGGACAUGUGGCAAAAUGACUUCUCAGUUCAAAAAUGUUAUUUGAGUGCUUCAGUAUUUUUUAAUCAUUAAUUUUAGGUAAAAAUGUGUAGAAUAUACCUCAACUAUAAAAAUGUAUAGGACAUACCUCAACUAUCAGCCAUUUUGAUCUAAUUACCUAACCUUUAAAAAUUUUUAUUUUGUUGAUUUGAGUCAAUUAAUGACUCUUUAACUUCAAAAUUUGAAGGCGUUGUUUAUCUUUACAGGUCUAAUUAGUAUAUUUUGUGCAAAUUUAUGCAACAAUAAAUUUAUUAAAAUAAGUAAUUAGCUUAAAUUAAAUUUUGUAUUAGAAGAGCCAUCAAAUGGCUUUAAUCAAACAAAUUCAAAGGUUGGAUACUAAAAUCAAAAUUUUAAAAGGUUAGGUAGUCAAAUCAAAAUGGUCUAUAGUUCAGAUAAGUUCUACACAUUUUUACCUUAAUUUUUAUAAUAUUCUCUUGAACCAUCCUAGUACUUUAUCAGCAUUGCUUUUAGUUUAGGUAUAUACAAUGUAGUCCAUUUUAUUUGUUUAGGCAUUAUAUCCAUUCUAUAAUCAAAUAUUUUAGAUUUAACCUAAUUUUUUACUGCUUAUUUCAUUAUAUUCAUAUUUAUUAUGGAUUUCCACUGUACUUUUUGUUUAUCUUUUUCCCCCUUUUUUUGUGUAUCUGCUUCUAGGUGUUAGAGUUUUCGUUGAUGAGUUAAUAUUUUAUUAGCUCUAGCUCUAUUCAUGUUAUUCUUCCUGGUUUGAUCGUCAAUUCUACACUUUGGAUCUUAGAUCCAAAAAUUGACAUUUCUUUCGGCAGAUUGAUUUUAUAUGCAUUGUUUUCCUCAUAUAAAUAGGUCCUUACGCAUGGGUCCAGUAUGUGCCUGGAGAAGAAAUACCUAGAAGUCGGCCUAACGAAGGAAGUAUCAAGGCCAGGGGAAGGAAGAGAAAGAAGCGCAUCAUGCAGAGGAAAGCAUUUAUACUGGUAUGGUUGCUUGUCAAAUAUUGUCAUUUCAAAUAUCAAUUUCUUUCUUUUUGUUCCCCCCAGGAUGGAAAGUUUUAGUUUGUACUGUUAUAGUAUUGCUCUUAUAGAUCCUUUUACCUAUUUCUGAUUUCUUGUUUGGCUAAUUCUUUCAGCAUUAUUUCAUAUACGAUUUGUCAAAAAAGAUCUUUUAGUAUUUUGGAACUCUGAUUAUUCAAGUUGUUCGCUUUUAUGUGUUAACCUCAAUUCGUUUUUUUAUGAAGUUAAACAUGAUGGUUUUGGACUUUUCUUUCAGAUUUCCAGAUUGCUGUGCUAUGAACUGUUAGGAUGAUGUUAAAAUCAUGUCUUGUGCGAGUUACAUCUUGAAAAGCUAAUUAGAAGACUGCAAUUUCUUUUUGUUGGAUAACUCAAAUUAAUAUAAUCUGUACUGAAAGCUAAUUUUGGUCUGGUAGCAUUGUAGGCAUAUUUUGAUUCAAAAUUUCCUCUUGUUUCUUCUCAGAGGACUAUUUUUGAUUUCAAGUACUACUCUGCCACUUUACGGAGAUAGGAUUGAAGAGUAGUGUUUUAUACCUUUUGUUGUUUUUGGUUUAUUAGUUGUCUGCAUAGAUCUAAACUAAAGUGCUCUGUCAAGAUGGUGAAACGUCUGGUUUAAUGUAGAAAAUUGAUACUUCUGACAUAAUUAUUCAGUUCCAUGCUAGAGACUGCAACGGCUUUACGUUUCAAGAUAGUUGUUUUAAUUUGUAAAUACCUUUUCUGCCUGGUAUUAUUCAGUUGUUUUGAUUUCAAUUCUCACGAACAGGCGCAUGUUGACUUCAUUUCUAGUUCUGAAAGAACUUGAGAUUAUGUCUAUCGGUCUUUCUAAUUUCAAUCCUUAUGACAGCUUGAAUGCUGAUGAUAAGAUGGAAUCAGAAAAGUAGAGACAUAAUUUGUAAAUAAGGAUUCCUGCAUUAUUCUUAAUUUGUUUACAGUUUAGAUCAUGUCCCAUUAAAAGGCAACAAUUAAGAAAAGAGAAGAUAUUCUAUGAGUUUUGUGGUGACAGUUCAUAUCACUUCCUUGGAUAAAUUUUGAUUCAUUGCUUUGAUAAAUCUGUAGUUCUGUAUAUUUAUUUCUUUUGUCUUUGGGUUUAGUUUCUUAAGCUAUAGUUCUCUUUGAAGUAUCAGUAGUACCUUUAUUCAGUAAUAUGAGUUAAGAUGUGACUAUGUGAGUGCCAUGUACUUUGUCUUUAGUAGCCUUGGAACAGAAAGAAUUAUCCAUUAUUUGAACUUUUGUGUCGUCAUUAGGUAAUAAUUGCAGUGCUGUUAGGAAUGCUCCUUUCCUUGAUUAGAGCUGAAACUUUUCUCCAGUUUGAUAAUUCAGGUUGUCGCAGAAAAUUUAAAAUUCGGAUUCCUUCUUGUAUAUUACAAUCUCUAUCACUGAUGGAAUAGUUAAGUCUAAAUCACCUGAUUUUGGUUUCCUUUUUAACCAAUCUAAUGAUCUCCUUAUCACCUGAUUUUGUGUAUCAAUAGUCUGAGAAGAAGAAACGCAAAGCUCAAUUAGCGGAGGCUCGAAAGAGAAAGGAAAUGAAGAGGAUAGAGAGGAAGAUGGCUGCAGUGGCAAGAGAAAAAGCUUGGGCAGAAAGGUUGAUAGAACUGCAACAGCUUGAGGAGGCAAAGAAGGCGGCAAUGUCUUAGCUUUAAUGUUAUGGAUGGUAUUGAGACCAACAGUUUUGAAAUCCUACUAUUAUCAUCAUAUCUUGGUUUACAACAAAUGAAUCUGUCAUUAUUAUGGUACUGCAUUUCCACUUAAACCUUUGGUGUGUGUAUGUGUGGCAUAAACGAUAGUAGAGUUGAGCUAGACUCUUCUUCUUCUUCUUCUUCUUCUUCACCGCAUUCCUCCAACCCUACCCUGCACAAACCAACCCCGCAACACCCGUCUCUUCCUCUUUUCUUUCCUGUUUUUACUUGGGGAUAAAACUAGCUAAUCAAGCUAGAUAGCUUUUGGAAGCACUUUUUUUUUCCCCUUGUUUUUCUCUUUCUUUCCCUUUGGGCUGGGGGGAAGGCGGGGUGCUUUCACUCUUUCAAGCUACAGAUGUGUCUCAAGAUCCUUCAUGUUAUUCACAUGGUCGCACAUAUUAACGGCAACUCUCAUCUGCUUUCAAAGGCAUUCCCAAUUCUCUGUGUGCGCGCGCGCCUGGGUGCGUGCACGCGUGCGUGUGUGUGGCAUUGAAUGGAAAUUUUCAUCGCUUUCAAGCUUCAGAUGUCUUGCUUAUGUAAUUGACAUGGUUCAUUGCAAGAAUGUGGCUUUACAAACUUGCCUGUAUUUGACAGCAAACACAACUUUGUUUGGGUGCUCCUCUUUUCAUAUAUAAAAGGCAUCGAAUGUCAGGGGAGUUGCAUUGCAGAUCAUGUGAAACAUUGAUGGGUUUUUCUUUUCAACUAUAAUAGGUUCAGCUUUCCUAUAUCCCUCCAUUGAAAUAUUCCCAAUAUUUAGCUGCAUCUAUUUUUCAAGUUAUCCGACUUGAAUUAGUUAACUAGGAACCGGUCUUUUUGUUUGUUGUUUUGAAGAGAGAUUGGCUCAUCUCACUUAAUCUCAACUUCUGUAACAAUUUACUUUUUUCACCUUGUUGCUGAAUACUUAACUAGCUCUCUUAUGAUGUUUCUGCAGCUCAGACAGAGCUUUUCGAUGCUGUUUCUGUAGCCUUGACGAAGCUCUCGGAUGUAGAUGUCAAGAACUGAAAUGCGGUGGCACAAAUUUCCUGGUCACGAUACUUGGAUUCAUGCUGCAGAGUGCAUGUUUGUGUUUCAGAAUAAUGAGAGAGAUUUUUUUCAAACUCUUUUGUUGUGUGUUCCAGUCAAAAAUCUGAUGUUUCUUCAAAUGUAAUCUGUAAGGUUCUAAUAUUCAAAAUCUCUCUGGAAAAAUAUAGCUGCAAAUGGAAUGUCUUCUUUAUUUUCUUCAAUGAUUAAAUAUCGGAGUAACAAUAUGAUAAGAUAGACAAAUGUGGACAACCUCACCAAUGUUCAGUUCUUCUACUUGGGUUAGCAUUCUUUUUGUCCAAUGAAUUUUGAUAUUAUGUUUCAGCUAUGUUUUCCAAGGGCAGAACAAUUUUCACAGCAAUAAAUGGUUUUUGAUUUUUUGAUAAAAAAGACACCGAAUUGCUGAAUUAAAAUUAAUUCAGAGACCAAAAUGCUUUUCUUGCCAUGGUGUUUGUGUGACUUUGGAUGCGAAAUCUGGAACAACCUUGCUUUGCACCAAUUUUUGCAGCAAUACUGUUUCAGUAAAGCUAACUUAAAGAAGCUUUUCCAUCAGAAGGAAUCUGAUCACUUUUGUUGCCCAAGCAGAAGCUUCUUAUUCAAACUCUUGCUUUUGAAGGUCAGAAGCUUCUUUUAGCUUCUCGCAACAACAGAAACUUUAGACCAGCUUUUUUAUUUUCAUAUUUGAUGCUGCUGUUGCUGUUCCAGAAGUUAAGAUUAAAGAAGCACUAAACAGGCUUUUAAUAAAGAAGUUUUAUAGAAUUCUUAAUAAUCAAAAUAGUCUGUUCCAAACCAAUCAUCAGAUCAUUCUCAGAUAACUCUUAUUAGUGCCUAAUGAGCUUCAGUAUCAUGGAUUAGACCUAACUUAGAAGAGAAAAUUAAAUUCAUUAAAUUCCAUCUAAUUCUCGAACUUCUUUAAAGCUAAUUAGAUCUAUUUAAAUAAUUAAGUGCUAUUUAGUUUAUUCUAAUCUAGCAUACUGAAGCGUAUCAAACAAUAUGUCACAUUUACAAUAAAAAUACAAUCAGCAGCAUUUAAUCUGCAACCUGCAUUUUAUUAACACUGUUUUAGCCUUUCACAGGCUUCUUUCAGAAAUAAUGGCAGUCCACUAAUAAUUGUGCCUAGCAAUUUACUUGUUGCAUGGCUCAAUGCACAAAUUACAAAUUUUCAUUUCACCUCCUCUAAAUUUUUUUUUUUUUUUUUUGGUUUUCAUUUUUUUGUUGCUCUGUUUCCUUGGAUGAUAUAGUGUGUUGUUAUAUAGCUGAUUGAUUGAGAGAAGGCAUGGGAUUAUUGUGCAAGAAAUGCAUGAACAGAAUUAGGGCUUGCCGCGGUCGGUGGAGGGGAACUUCAUGCCCUGCUCCUAGGACUGUCACAUAUGUGAGCCCUUUGUAGACUUGGCUCCAUCCACCCACCUAGCAGGGCACACUUUAUGUGUUAGAUGGAUAAGUCGAUAGAUCCAUUAGUAGCUGCCUUAUUUGGAAGAUCUAUCUGAUAGAAAAUAAUUUGCAUUCCGCAACUGAUAUAGCUGGUAGAAUAGAAUAGAUUUGAGACGAUCAUAUAAACCGGCAUUUAGGACUUGCGUACUAUUAUGUAAUCCAAAAGAUGGAUCAAACAAGAAAUAGUUCAGAAGUAUUCUUAAUAGUUUGAUGACAAAAUUAGAGAGAGAGAGAGAGAGAGAGAGAGGGAAAGGAUUAAUUUUGGACUCACAUUUUCAUUGUCAUACCAAGGAUACCAGCUGAUGAGAGUUGAAAGAUUCAGAGCAUCAAGUGAGUAUCUGGUAGCUGUUAGAGGGACUACUGAAUCUGUGUCUCCACUGCAAAACCAAAGAGUGUUCACCGCAGUUAAAGUAACAAGCACAGCUCUUUGUAGCAUGAGCUAUAGAAUUCGAAAAAAAAAAAUCGGUAGGAACAAGGAUCCUUCUUAACAUGUAUAUUUGUCUCAUGAAAUUUAAAAAUAUGUUAGUUGCGGAACGAUCGCAAUCCAAUGCAAUUCAUUCCAUUCCAUUCGAGCCAAUUCGGAAUUUCCAUACAUGCUUUUCCUUCCUGGCAAACAAAAGUGUUACUGACAGAAUAGCAAGUAUUCGGCAGGACAGAAGGAUUCUGAUCCUUCAAUUUUUCUAUCUCUGCAAUGACCCAGCCACACACAGUUCUAUUGAUAAAUAUCUAAUAACCAAGUUUCUGCUGCGCGGAAUCAUUCGUACCGAUAAAGUUAGACAAAGAUUUCUGAAAUUCGAAACAUAGGAUAACGGAAUGGACGAAAGGGAAAUACGAAGAUUCCGGACUAAAUGGUUUUAUGGAAACUAAGAGAUUUGUUUCAUAUUUGUCAGGUAAAACGGUCCAAUCUAUAGAUGGUGUUGCGUCGCUCUCAAGUAGCUAUCUGUUGACAUCAUGCAAAUUUAUGACAUUUUCAGUGAAUUUUUUGUAAUAGCAUGCUCAAGAUGCACUCAAAUGAGAAUUAUACUUUCUGCCGAGUGAAAAUGACCCUCCAACUUUCGGACCACCUCCAACAAAUACACCAGAAAGAGAAGCAUACCCGAAAACUCCUAUAUAUGGCAAAGAAAACAGAAAAAGAAAGAAAGCAUAACUUCAUACCUGAAAACCCAUACCCUCAGUCCAGCUGCAAUAAGUUCUCGGUAGAUAGGAAGCAUUGAUCUUGGCGAAUCCGCCCAGUACGUACCGACAAUGUCGCUGCAACAAUAAUAAUGAUGCGACAAAUCGGUAAGUUUCAGAUUACUGAUGUAACUAACACAUUGCGCAAAAAGAAACAUCUGUACAUUCAUAAUUUUUCGAUCGAGAAAUUUAGGAGCCAUAGGUGUAACCUGCAGGUGUCCCAACGGUAAGGUAUCCCAGUGAGAUUUGCAUGGAGAGCUUUCUGAACAUCCGGAUGGUUGUAGUACAUUCUGGAGUAUUUUUCAGUGCAGGGAUCAUAACCUCUGGUCAUCCAAGGCUGAAUUUGGAUGAAAUGUUUAUAAGACAGAGAUAAAAAGUGUACAGAAAGUGACCUCUAAGAUUAUGUUCAUUUUCACAACUUAAAAUUAUCAAGCCAAUAUAUCGAGAUCGAAAUCGGAUAUCGGCAUAUGCAUUAAAGGAGGAAAAAAAAAACACUUGUGCACGCAUUUUAGCGCAUCUUGACCUGGCUGUUGGUUAUAUACUUGAUAAGGUGGUGACUUUCAGAAGCCCGGCUUUGCUUUGAACAAACAAAUUGACGCUUUUGCUGUAGCAGAAUUCUGGACUGCACUUUUCAAAAGCAAAAAGCUCCAAAUUAAAACUUCUGCUUUUGCUACAACAAACAGCUGCGCCAAACCAAACAAAAGCCCUUAAUGUGUUGAUCUGCCUACACAUCUCGCUUUUACCACAACUUUACGAUAGUUUUGACUUGAAUAACCCCUUUUAAUUUUAGAUUCACUUUGAAGGAUACAAAGAAAGACAAAAUUUCUAGCUAAGGAGCUCAUACUGUUCUUCAAAUAUCAGCUUCACUAAUCUCCUCGAGUUUACCAUGUAAAUACCAACCUGCAGGCUUAAUGUAUCUAUCUGUUAAUAAUAAUGGUAAAGAGAGCUCACAUAGCGGCCCCUUAAAUUGCGCUUGAGAGUGGUGGUAUCAUUGCAAGGUCGGGUGUAGAUGCUGUAAGCAUCAAUGUUGCCUUGCUCUACAUAGGCAAUGUUAAGCCAAUUGACGCAUGCUUCUGAAGGGUGCUCCGAUGAAUCAAAGUCGCAGACCACCUGCAGAUUAUGAUAAGUCUCGUCGGAGAUCAGCCCGUGCGUCCACCAGUACUCGAACGUGCCAACGUAGUCGUGAUAGUCGUCGGUCACGCCGUUCCCGACCUGCACAUACAAUAUGAUGUUGAAAUGGAUGUUAAUAGUGAUUCAACUCAAGCCGUAGUCACCGCUGUAAAUGGUCCUGCAUUUUAAGAUGUCAGGAAAAUACUGCUCAUGUACUAGCAUUACUAAUUUGAGUUAAAUAAGCUUUUAAGUUACUAAAAUUAGUUACUUCUUACUUAUGAUGUAAAAGGCUUGUACAAACUGACAUAUAUGUAUAUCCAAUAUGACACAAUGUGUACCACUAAUUUGUACUGAAAAGAUCUAUUUUAUCGAGUUAUUAAUACUGAUGGGCCAGAUUGCGCCGUAUAUAAGCACAUGACAAAAGAAAAAAAGAAAAGAAAAGAAAUAAUUAGAGGAUAUAUUUGGUUCUCCCAAUUAAAAGGGAAAAAAAAACACACACAACAGAAAGGUAAAUAAGUAAUAACAAAGUAUUUACCAAGAAACCUUUGAGAUUAAUAAUGGGCUUCUCAACGCCUUUAUUUUGCUGAUACACAAUCUGUGAUAGCUGAGGAACAUAGUGCCCUGAAAUGCAAUAAAUUGAUCGAAUUAAACAAAAAAAAUGGGAUUACUUUAGAGAGUAAAAAAAUGACAAGUAUAAACUAGAAAGAGAUUGAUCUAAACCAAAAAAAAAAAAAAGAAAAAAAAAAGAGGAAGUACAAUUAUUGAAGCUUAGGGUUCAUAAUUUACCAGCAUAGCUCUCUCCAGUGAUGUAGAAAUCGCGGUAUUUAUACUGAGGAAACCUCUCAAACCAAUUCACUAGAAAAGUAUAUGCAUCCCAUGCUACAAAAUUUAAUUCAAAACAUAAGAUAAAAAAUAAGAAUUCUCUUCUCUUUUCUUUUUUCAUUGUAGAGAAAUUUAAAUAAUUGCCUAAAAUGGUCUAAAAUGAAAAAAAAAAAAAAAAAAAAAAAAAAAACCUGUUCUAUUGUCUCCAGCAGUAUACAAAUCCGAAGUCCUGUUCGAGUACGAGAAUCCGACCCCCGCCGGCGACUCCAAGAAGAGCACAUUAGCCACUACACCAAAAUUCCCACAAAAUCAAUUGAAAAAUAGAAAAAAAACAUGAUUAAAGUGUUCAAUAUACUUCAAAAAUAUCGUUCUCCAAAAGUUAAGUUUUUGAAAAAUGAUGGUUGUUUUUUAUUUUUUAAGAUGGUAUCAGAGCAGAGAGUCCGAAUUCGAAUUCACCUUUGUUCCAAGCGUACUUGUUCAAGAAGAGAGUCUUUCCGUCGGGCCUGAUGCGGAAGGCGCCGAGCUCUUCCGACGCCCCGUAGCCAACCGAAGAGCACCCGGGGCCGCCGUUGAGCCAGAGAACGAGCGGCGCCGCGGCCGCGCGCCCAGCGGGGGCCUCUUGGAACCAAUAGAACAGUGCCCGGCCGGCCUGCCGGUUCACGGUGACGUACCCCGAAUAUUGGGAGAAGUUCACGGCCGGCUGGCCCGGCAGGAGGGCGAUGCGGUCGGCCUCCUGAUCGGCGAAUGCCGAACGGGAGGACGGCUGCAGGAGGCAUAGUAAAAAAGACAAGCAGAACGGCAGGGAGAGUAACGAGUGAGGCGUGAAAUAAAAGAAGAAAGAGGGGGCAGAAGGGGAGGACAAAGAGGAGGCUCCCAUUGGCCCUUCCUUUUUGGAGCUUCAAUGAUUGGGGGGUUAGAUAGUAGGGAGAGAUGAUGGGUUAGUUAAUAAGAGAAAAGAGAGGGGGAAGGGUCGGUAUAUAAAUAUAGAGUCCUAAAAUAUAAUGUGUGUGUAAUGUGCGCGUGUGUGUGAGAAUGCUAAAUAAAAUAAGAGAGAGAGAAAGGUGGGUCAUGAAGAAGACCGUUGACAUUCUAAAUAGAAAGCAACUGCAUCCAAGAUCCAUGACUGGUGUUACCUACUUUUUAUCUUGGUAAAUAUGUGAACUGUAGAUCAUUUUAAACUUACUGUCUCUGUAUUUAAAAUUUUGAUUUUACUAUCUAGUUUUUAAUUUGUUUGUUUUAAGUUAGUAGCAAUAUUUUGACUUCAAAAUUUUGAACUAAUUACUUAUUUUAACGAAUUUAUAUGUGAGAAUUGUAUAAAGUUUAAAUUUGUAAAGAUAAACGAUUCAUUCAAAUUUUGGCAUCAAAAUACUGUUGACGGACUCAAAUCAAGCAAAUUCAAAGGUUGGAUAAGAAAAUUAACUUUUGAAACUUUAGAUAGCCAACUUAAAAUAGUCCAUAGUUUAGAUUUUCAUUUUAAAACUUUUGUAAUCUAAUUUUAGCUUGUGUAAAACGUAUGUAAAUUAAAAUUAAAUGUGUAAUUUAAACCCUAUAGUUUUAUACGUGUGUGUGUAUAUAUAGUUAUGUAUAUGCAUACAUCACAAAUAUAUUUAGUACAAAGCUACAAACUUAAUACAUCAAAUUAAUCCCAAAGAUCAUCGUAACAAAUUAAAAAUAUAACAAAUAACCAACAAGAUGUAGAAACUGUGUUUAAAAGUUUAUGUGUUUGAACAGGCAAACCAAAUUAAAAUCAAAUUAAUUUUUUUUAGUUUAAUUCAAAUUUAAUUUUUUACACCAUUGAUUUGAUUUUGAUUUUCUCAAAUUGAAUGAUAUUGGUUCGGUUUCAAUUAAUCUUGUAACCCGAACAUUAAUGUCCACUUCUAAGAUAUAUAUAUUGAGAGAGAGAGAGAUUUUUUUAAAAAAAUUUAUUAGUUAUUAUAUAUUUAGUAUUACAAUGAUUGGGUUAGUUAAUGGAAGUGGUGGAGAAACAAAAAUGAGAAUGAAAAAUGCGGGGAUGGUAAAGGGUUAAUUAUUGUAUGAUUUUGAUCUAUUAAACUAGUCUAUAUAAUCAGGUUUUGACAAAUACUAAAAUUUAAAUAAUAUCAAACUUAGAAAAUUUUUCUUUCUUAUUGUAAUUUGAUCUAACUUUGUAAAGAAAAAAAAAGCUUUUUAUUAUAAUUUGGCACAUGUAAUUUAAUUUAAGGGCAACUCCAUUAUAUGCAUGUGUAAUUUGCAUAAUAAUUUAAACUAUAUGUAGAUUCAAAUAUGACGUUUGAUUUGAUAAAUUUGAAUUUAGCUACUACUGUUGAAACAACAAAAGGAGGCAUAACUGUAGAAAUUGAAAAUGUUAAGAGUUAACUUCUGAAUAGUUCCGCAUCAUAUAAUUAUCAGAGAGUAAAAAGCUCGAUAUAUACUAGUGGGCUUAGACCUAAUUGGCUAAAGCUUUUAGGUUGAUAGAGUUUUAUUAGAUAAAUCUCAUCUUUGGACUUAUGUAUGUCUGAGAUGGGUCGAUAACUCUUUAAUAAGUAAUACCGGACUGAACUACUCAUCAAAAAUGGUAUGAUGCAUCGAGUUAGUGGCUCUUCCGAAUAUGUAGAUGAGUUAUAAUAACGUGAUACAAAGAUUUUGUGUAGAUAAGGUGCAUAGGCUCAGAUGGUUAGCGCAUUUAAACAGUUGGACUCUAGAGGCAUAGGUCAAGUGCACGGACUCUGUGUGAAUUCUUGAGCGGCGCCGUUAAAAGCGCAUGAUUUCCAUGAAUGGAUUUCUGGUGGCUCAUAAAAAGAACUUACAAAGCACGUCAUGGAGAACAGCUAAAAAAGUAACUUGGUAUAAUGCUUAGAGAGUAAUAAAUAGAGAACAUAUGUGAGUAGCUCCAAAUUGGAUAAUUGUAAGAGAUCGUAAAAGAGUUGAUAUAACUAGUAGGCUCAAUCCUAAUGAACUUAUUAAAGUUUUAGGUUGAAUGAGUUCUCCCUUAUAUAUUCAAAUUUUGGAACUCAUGUGUGCUUGAGUUAGCUAUGUAACACUUUUUGAGUUGUGUAAUUUUAUGAACUAAUCUAUCUAAUUACGUUUUGAUUAUAUAUAUAUACAUAUACAUAUAUUCUACAUUGAGUAACUCUAAGUAACUAAAUAAAUUAUUUAUAAUUACAAUUCUUUCCGCUGUAUUUAACGAAAUAAAAUUAACGAAGUUAUAACUAUUGCAUUUUUUACCGAAUGUAUCUUCAUGUGCACCGGCUGUACAAUUAUUUCCAACCAAACAAUUCCUUGGUGUAGAAAUUAAGUUCAAGUACUAUUUCGUCCAUUUUAUCGCCAUAUUGAAUUUUGCAGGACAAUUGUUGAUUUGCACUCUUUUUCUUUUUCUUUUUUUGUUGCACCAAAUCAAUUUUUCUUCGCCAAAUUCCAGCGAAAAGAAGAAAAGUUGGUGGGCCAAAUUGCAAUUCGGAAAAUAAGUGAUGAAUUGAUGUAAAUUUGACCCAAUUAAAUAGGUAAUGAUGAUAGAUUUGGACACAAUUAUAUGAUAAUAUCCUCUUAUUCAUGCUUUUUAUCUUAUAAUCUCCCUCGCCUAAUAAAUCCCUAAUUUUGAUUUUAAAAGAUAUUCUGUAGACUAUGUUUGGUUUAAAAAAAAAAGUUGUUCUUGCUGAUUCCUAUAAUCAGAAAUGAGUUCAAUUUAUAUUUAGCUAAGAAUCAAAUUAUUUUCGGGAAUAAAAAAAAAUAAUACUCUAAUAAUUUAAACUAGAAUAAUUAGGAUGAGUAAUUAUAAUUUUAAAAUACAAAUAUUAUACUUAAGGGAAAACUUCAAAAACCCCCCUUGUGGUUUCAAUUUUUUUCACUUUAAUACCCUGUGGUUUAAAAUAUAUCAAGUUAGUACCCCGUGGUUUCUCACUUUAUCACUUAAGUACCCUGUGGUUUAAAGUGUAUCAAGUUAGUACCCUGUGGUUUUGCACUUUAUCACUUUAGUACCCUGUGGUUUUAAUUUUGUAUCAAGUUAGUACCCUAUAGUUUUUUAAAUCACAAGGUACUAAAGUGAUAAAGUGUGAAACCACAGGGUACUAAAGUGAUAAAGUGAGAAACCACAUGGUACUAACUUGAUACACUUCAAACCACAGGGUACUAAAAUGAAAAAGUGUGAAACCACAGGGAGGGUUUUUGAAGUUUUCCCUAUACUUAAUUAACAAUAUCAAAAUAUUAAUGAAAUACUAAUUUAAUUAAUUAAUUAAUAUUGUAAAUACCCUUUUUACAUUCCAACCUAUUUCAAAUAUACCCCUAAAGUUAAAUUCUGUUAAUGAACUGUUGACAAUAUCUGUUAUUUGUAUAAAAUUACUAUUUUGCUUUUUCAAAUAUACACUUCCACCAUCACUGACUUUUCUUAUUUGCCGCUAAGUUAGGGCUACAAAAAGUAUUUUAAUUUUGAUCUUUUCAAAUAUACCCUUCUACUAUUACCAAUAUUUUUUAUUUACCCUUAAAUUAAGGGCAAAAGAGGUAUUUUGAUUUUUGUUAGCUCUAGUAGAUAUUUAACUCACGUUUAAUUUAAGUUAACUUAACGAAUGAUAACUACAGUGAUAUUUUGAAAUAACGGAGAAACAUAUGAUGGGUAUAUUGGAAAGAAAAAAACAGAAGGGUAAAUAAAAUAUUUUUAAAGUUUUGAAGGGUUUAUAGAUAAUUAUCCUUUUUUAAUUGUUUUUUAUGUGGAUUUUUUUUUUAACUUUUAGUAGAGAAUUUGUGGGCUGGUCCAAGUGGGCCCCUCAUACUUUGUCCAAUCUCAUGUUUACUAGGUACGUAGCAGUUAUAUCAUAUCAUCUAUAUCUUCUUUUUUUUCUAUUUUUUUUUUAUUUUUUUUGUUUUGUGUUGAGGGUGGUGUCGCCGUCAGUGGAAAGAAGAACGUGCAAGUUUGGCAUGCUUUUGAAAUAUUACAAUAUUAAUAACUGCUUGGUGGAUGAAUAUUUCAGAUCUUUUCUGUGAUGAGAAGCUGGAAAAAAUUUUUGAGACUUUUAAGUAAAAACUUCAAUAUAAAACUUUUGACUUCGAUACCUGAACAAGAAGUCGUACAAAACUAUCAAUACCUCUUCAAAUAAUCUCCAAUGAGAAGUAUUUUAGUUUUUAUUUAUUACUUUUAUUUUAGAGCUGCUAUAUAUUGUGCCAAAAAAUUGAAUAAAUAUUUACACUUCGAAAGAAAAAAAAAAUCCAAUAUGGAGCUUCUAAUUGAUUGGACAAACUGUGGUCUCCGUACUCUGGUCUCAAAUUAUAUUUAAGUUAGGGAAAACUUCAAAAACCCUCCAUGGGGUUUCAUACUUUAUCAUUUUAGUACCCUGUGGUUUAAAGUGUAUCAAGUUAGUACCCUAUGAUUUCUCACUUUUUCACUUUAGUACCUUAUGGUUUAAAGUGUAUCAAGUUAGUACCCGGUGGUUUUGCACUUUAUCACUUUAAAACCACAUGGUACUAAAGUGAUAAAGUGCGAAACCACAUGGUACUAAAGUGAUAAAGUGUAAAACAACAGGGUACUAACUUGAUACAGUUUAAACUAUAUGGUACUAAAAUGAUAAAGUGAUAAACCACAGGGUACUAACUUGAUACACUUUAAAUCACAGGGUACUAAAGUAAAAAAAAGUGAAACCACAAUAGGGGUUUUUGAAGUUUUCCCUUUAAGUUAUAACACGAAAAAACUAAUAUUUUAAAAUAGUAGUAAAAGGAAAAUAAGUAAAUGCUUCUUUUCUGAAAUUACUAAUAUUUCUUUUAAAAGUAGAUGCCAUUUUUGCAGAAGCUCUGGUAAAACUAAACAUGAAGUAGAUCAACUCGGCUUAUAGAACAAAUAGUAUAGACUUGGUCUACGAAGUAUAGAAAUAAAUGUAUAUCUUAAAGGUGUAUUUAUUAUAGCGUAAAAUGUUUUAUACAAAUAUUUAUUUAAACUUUAAAGAUACGUAUAAAUAAUUUGCAUGCGCACAUGGAGAUGACCAUUUUUUUUAAUAUAUUUUUCUAGUUUAAGAACAUUUUUUUCUAUAUGUUCUAUUUUGCCUUGAAGGCAAAAUAAUUGAGCGAUUGCAACUUUCUUGAUACUGAAUUUUAUAAUUUUUUAGCAUUAUUUAUUUCGUGAUUAAGCAAUUUAAAAAAUACUUUAAUAACUUAUGUGGGAUGUUUCCUCGUUUAAUGGUGUAGCAAAUUAAUCAUUUGGAUUUUUUAUUUUAUUUUAUCUUAACUAUCUGCGACAAGAUUUACAACUUCAACCUUGAUUUAAAAAUCCUAUCCCUUAUUUUCAGAAUGAAGUUCAAUUUUGAACGGAGAGCUAGCUAAUUAAUGAUCUAAAAAGCCAUUUUCAAAAUUAAUAAGUUUGGUUUCUAAUUUAUACAAAUAUCCUAUAUCGUACAUAUUCAACGAUCGAUAUCGAUCACCAAAUUAUAUAGGUGCUUUAUGAUAAAUAAAGAGUCUAUAGUAGUAGCAACAAGAAAUUAACCUUAUUAGAAAUCUAUAUUUGGUGACCAUGAUGAUGGUGGUGGUACUUAAUAGACUUGAUAUGUAGAUAUUUAGUUGUAUUCAAAAUUGGCAACUAGUGUGGUUCUUUAAGUACAUGCUACUUAUUAAUUAGGUGUCAUUCUCAAGUACUCGUGCAAUAAUAAUAAAUAAAUUUAGCAUUUCUUUAGCUUCUAAAGUCUAUAUAUAUAGUUGAUCUGCUUUAAGUGUGACCUAAGACUUUGAAUAUAAUUAAGGAAAUAAAUAUUUGGGGGGUUGUCUUUAAUUUAUGAUGACAGCAUAUAUAUAUCAGGAGGAAAUAAUGGAACUGGAAGACACUGAAGAGAGAAAAUUUUCAUAGAAAUAAAUUAGGGUAAAUUGCCUUACUAGUCCCUAAGCUUUUAGGCGAGUUUUAUUUGGUCCUUAAACUUUUUAAGUUUGAAAUGUGCAUCGAGGUGUGAUCGAUGACGAGUACUGCGGUGUCAAUUGCACGUCAGUACUACGCCGCGUGCUGGUAGUACGACAAUCCGUGGUUGCAUCUGCCUCGAUCGUCUGUCUGUGCAUCAGUACAUGAUUAUUAUCAGCUUUGAACUGUAAAUUAGAUAAAAUGUUAGGACUUAGUCGAUGGUGGGAAUGAAAUAUGAGAUUGAAUCAAAGUCGAUGGAUAAAUCAAUGGCUUAUGACAACACAAACACAUUGGGUGCAAGUUAUACUCUUUUUUGUUUUUUUUCCCCCUCUCAUUAGUGAAUACACACAAGGACCAAGAUGAAAUAAUUUUAGAAGUUCGGAGUUUUAAAUUCGAAAGUUCGAAGUUUGAAAACCAAAGAUAAACCUAACCAUAUUUUCAUUUUUAUCCAAAUAAAAUAUGUGGCUUGAGUGUGCAUGCAACAGAAUGUGUUGAGAUUAGUCUAAGUUUGACCGAGAUAUUUUUGCUUUGCUAAUUGGAUUUAAGUGGAAUAUUAUCACCCACUCCAUUUGAGUGGGCGGUGAACAAACUUUGUUGUCGCUCCAAGUAAUGAAUUGACUAAUGAGUUCUUCGCAAAAUUCGAAUAAAGGUAUCUGCUAAAAAUAAUAGCCUCAUAUAUUAGAUUCUAAAAAAAUAAUAGUAGAGCGUGUAUCAGAUGUGCAACCAUAUCUCAAAAGUGAACAAAUACAACGUCUAUGUCUAGGCCCUCAGUUUCCCAGGACCAGCACGUGGCUAAUGGCAACAUGCAGAAAUCGACCCCCUGAUUUGCUCUGAUGCUAUUUGUCGGAUCGUUAGCACUAACUGUAAUUCAAAAAGCACAAACAAAUAAGAAAAGAAUAACCAAUUAAUUUAAAAGGUAUAGACAUCCUUUCCUAGUAUUUAGCAUUGAAACCUCAUAGAAAACGGUCUGAAAAUUAUCCAUGCUUAGAUGUUAAAAUCGUACGCAAAUUUCAAUAAUCCUCAUUUCAAUACCACAUAUUAGAGGAUCUAUAAUCAAAAUGGUAAAAUUAAGAUCUUAUUUUCUUUAAUUGUUGUUUUAAGCUCUUUAAAGAGAAUUAGAAAAUUAGAAUUUGACAAGAGGAAAGAUUCUUUAUCAUCUCUCUAACUUGAUUUAAUUUUUCUUCGUAGAAAUGAACUAAACUAAAAUGUGAUGGCCCACGAUAUAUAAAACCAACUCUAUCUACAUAUGAAUUAUUUUUGGUGGUACUUGAAUAAUUUGCAUGUAAUUGUGACCUUCUUUUUGGCUCGCAUGGCGUGUUUUACUUGAAGCACAAAUGGGGACAAGUGCAUCACUAUCUUGCAAUGUUCCCGCGUAGUCCGUAGACCAAACCAAACUUAAACUCUAACUUAGCCAUUAGAAUUAAUUAGCUACAUGCGUGUCUCAUUCGUUGUCCUAUGAAGAUAUUUUAUCGGUACAUGACAACGAGUUAGGCCCGAAUAUUCUAAGAAUGAAUGGAGAAGUUAAGGCGAUGGAAAAAACAAACGAAUCGACUUACGCCAGAGUAUUCUAAAAACCAACGGUAAAGUUAAGGCGCUGAAAAAUUCGAAUCGAUGAUCAGCAUCAGUAAACACGAUUUAAGUUAUUUCAAUUUUUUUAAAAUUAAAUUUAAGUGGUCUCAAAUGAAAAUUAUUACUUCGGAGACUAUUUGAAUAUUAAGUAUUGAUAUCGUAAAAUCAUGAAAUUUCAAAAGUGAGAUAUUCAAAUAACCUGAAUCAAAUUUAACGGUAUGAAUCUUAGAUUAGGAUAAUCUUUCAGUGGAAGCGACGCCUAAGUAAUUAAAUGCUUCCAUUUACUUCGAAAGUAUUCUAUAUUGAAAAUUAUUUUUCCUGCUUAAAACAAUCUAGGACCAUAAAUAUACUUCUAAGAAUGACAAUUUUGGACACAAGUCUCAUAAUUUGACACAAUCCGAUACGACACGUUUUCAUUUUAUUAAAUAGCUUAUGAAACUUACUUGGUUUGGCCCAAAGAAUAGCGAUUAUAUAUGCUUUGAAUUGUUGGAUGCAUUUAACAAGUAAGUUUGAUAAUAUUUAUGUACUUGAUAUGAAACCUAACAUCAAAGAUACGUAUGUUAGAUGAUCACCUGUUUAAUUAGUAGGGGCGUUACUAUAGUAUUGAUGAAGGUUAUUCAAUCGUUGAUUCGUGGAAUGUACGUAAUUGAGACUCAUUCAAAUUGAGAGAAAAUAGAUCCACUUCACACCGACAAUCAAAAAUGAAAAAAUUACUCGUAAUAGCGUCCCGGUUAUCAUUCGAUUGAAAAGACACGGCGAUCGAGUAAAAUAAAAAACCUUGUUUGUAAUUUUGUCGCAACCGACGAAAAGAAAGCUAUAAAUAUGUGUCGUUGUUCUAACAAAUUGUAAAAAAAUAGAUUCAAAAAAAAAUAUUAAUGCAAGAAAAGAAAAAAAAAAAAAAAAAAGAUAACAUCAACUUUUACGUGAUUUGACUAUGAAUUUAUUUUUACAGGCGAAAAUGGAAUAAAAUUUUUUAUUAAUAAUGUCAAAAAAUUAUGUCCAGAAAAAAAGCCAAAUCCUAAAAUGCACUAUUUAAUGUCUGAAGUACGGCCCAAAAUGGCCAAGUUAGUACCGACUGCAACCCGCUCGGCCUCUCCCUAAUACGCACGGUUGCGGCAGUCUGCCACAAUGCGUCCCAUUUUGCCAUAUCGUGUACGGACCGCCGACAGCUCUCGGCCACACUCCGAAUGACAUGCACUGGCUUUACAUUGGCUUAGAGAUAUGUUCGGUUGUAUGUAAAAGUGCAAACAAAAAAAAAAAAAAAAAUUUGCGAAAGAAAUUUAGGUAGAAAAAAAAGUAUAACAUUUUUGUAAUAUUUAGUAUGUAAAAAAUAAAAAUAAAAAUAAUUUUUGAUCAAUAUUUAUUUGACUGUGUUGGCGCUAUAAAAAUGACGCUAUAUAGAACACGUGGAUGAAAUAAAAGAACUAUAUAUAAAGAAAGCCACACGUGCGUGGCACACUUGAAGUUGAGAUAAGUACACCUGAAACGAGAAAAUAGUUUUAGAUGAAACCGAAGACGAGAAAAUAGUUUUUCACUUUUAUCUUUUUUUAAGAGUAGUCUAUUGUGAUAAAUUUUCUUAUUAGUCGCAGUAGAUUUUAUUGUGUUUCCUAUAGUCAAGGACUUAGUAAAUUAGCGGUAGGGCUUAUCUUCCUGUAUUUCAAAUUUUUUUUAAAGUAUACUGAAGUCACUCGGCUCAUUCAGCCGAGUCAGUAAUAUAUUUGAGUGUUCGGACUCGGCUGAGCAAAUCCCUACUCAGCUGAUUGCUUUAUUCUGUUUGGGGCGCGUUCGAGGGUCAUCAUCAGGAGCCGACCAAUCCCCCAACUCGCUUCCCGACUCGCAUAGGUAGAAAGUAAAAAAAAAUCCACAUUUGUUAAUUUUGGUAGAAAAAUAAGUAAAAAAAAAUUUACACAGUUUGAGUUUUUAUUUUUCGUUGAAAAUCGACUGAAAACGAAAAGACUUUAUUUUUCUCAAAUUUGUAAAAACAAAUUUUGCGAAAACUUUCUCUAUGGCUAAACAAAGCAUAUGAAAAAUAUUUUUCAAACCAAAAAAUAAUUUUCGGCAUAUUUUACCGCCAACCAAACACACCUUUUGUUAAUUAAUUGAAAACUUCCUCAAUCAAUGUGGCCAUAACAUGCUCUAUACAGGUAUAUGGCUCGAAACAUAUAUCUAAUUCUAACUCAAGUUAAAUUAGUCACAUAUUUAUACUCAGCAUAGCCCAAAUUAAAUCUCAUCUAAUCCUAAUUAAAUUAGAAUUUGACUUGAAUUUGGAUAACUAUAAAAUUAAACAAAAAUCUAACAAUCUCUAUUUUGAUUUGAUUUAUAGUCACAAAUUCCAUCUUGACUUAAAUUCUCUUCAAUAUUUCUUCACGCUUCUUAAUGCUCCGUCUUCUCAAAUGCUGCUAACGAUCACCAAGUUCAAAUAAUAUUUGAAGUUAGCAAUAGUAAAAGACUUAUAAGCAUGUCCGCCAGAUUGUCCUUAAUCUCAAUUUUCUUAAAAAUUAUCAUGCGUUUUCCAAUCACUCCUAGAACAAAGUAAAACUUUACAACAAUAUUCUUUGUGCUUUCAUUAAACAUUUGAUCUUUAAAUAAAUGAAUAGUACUUUGACUGUCCGAAUAAACAACCAUUGGGUCACAAUAAGAGGUAAGCUCUCUAAAUAAACCUCGUAGCUGUAUAGCUUCCUUCAUACCGUCUAUCAUAGGAAUGUACUCUAUCUCGAUCGUGGAUAAGGCGAUAAUUAGUUGUAAUAAAGCUUUCCAACUAAUUGCACAUCUACCGACGGAGAAUACAUAAUCCAAAAGUGAACUCCUCUUAUUCAAAUCAUCUACAAAUUCGAAUAUAUAUAUAUAUAUAUAUAUAUAUAUAUAUAUAUAUAUAUAAUAUAUUAUAUAUUAACUAGGCUGGAGUACUAUUAAUAGCACCAACGACUUGGUGCUAUUAAUUUUCUACCCUUAGAUUGGAAGAUGUGUGGUUAGGAUGAUGCGGGCCCCCUGGGCUUGAGUGGGUGGUUAGUUGAAUAGUAUAACCGAACGGUUAAAAAUAAUAAAAGAGGUAAAUCUAACGACAGAAAACUUGAUAGCACCAAAUACCUCAUGCUAUCGAUAGUAUCCCAGCCGGACUCUAUAUAUAUAUAUAUAUAUAUAUAUAUAUAUAUAGAGAGAGAGAGAGAGAGAGAGAGAGAGAGAGAGAGAGUUGAGCUAGAAUAUUAUCGAUAGCAAAUGGGCUCCGUUGCCACCCAUUUGUUUUUGUUGAUAGAGCCUCAAAAUCGACGAUCGACACCGUUGAACAUGAUCUAUACCACUUGAAGUGUUUACAAAUCAAAUUUCAAAUCUUUUCGACAUCAUUUGCCUAAUGAUCAAAGGGUUUCAAAUUUUGUAAUUUUAAUGGUCGAUAUGAGGCGUUUUCUCGUUUAACGGCGUAAAGAUAUCCAAAUCAAUUGAAAUUUUGUUAAAAAUUUUUUUAAACUAUUUGGAACAAGAUCUAUACUCUCGAUCUUGAUUACAAGACUCCUAUCAUCAUUUUUUAAAGAAUAUUUAUUUUCAGCCGUUCAUUUUUGUGUCCACUCGAUGGAUAAGAGAACAAUAUCGAAAAUGUAUGAAAUUUGAUUUCUAAACACUUCAAAUGGUAUAGAUCAUGUUAAACGGUGCCGAUCAUCAAUUCAGAGGCUCCAUCAUCGAAAACAAAUGGGUGGCAACGGAGCCCGUUUGCUAUCGAUAGCAUUCUAGCUCAACUCCUAUAUAUAUAUAUAUAUAUAUAUAUAUAUAUAUAUAUAGUUGGCCGGUAAACUUGUAAACUUGUAUACUAAGUAAAGGCUGUUUUAGUUAACGACGUGUUAAAUAAUCAAAGUUUCAAAAAUGAGUCAGCGACCGCUUCUCUACAUUGGGCCUACAUGCUCGACUGUAUUCUCAGUCUCAUCGCCCGAGAACUUGUCGAACUUCGGCAUUUUCCAGUUCGCCGGAUACGGAUGCUCCGCGUCGAUGUUCGCGGGAUAUGAGGAUCUAAAUACAGGCCGCACUGCCGACCUCGCCCCGACACCAAAUGUGUUCUGAAUCGCCUCUUCUAUUUGAACAUAUAACUCAUUAUUUCUUGCCGCCGAAGUAGAAACCGGGGUCGGAACCACAUUUGGCCCUGAAGGCGGUCCGUAAUUUUGCAUUACAGAAUUGAGUUCCUACAACCUGUUGGGCCCUUACCCCCCAGCCCUUACGCCCACGUUUUGGGGCUAGUAAGCUGGUAAAGGAGGUAAACCCGAUGCAAUCUCCGAUUGCAGGCCGGCGUUUAUAUUUGCCGGCCUAUAAGCAGGCUGGAAAGGUGCCAUUUGCGGUUGUGCCUGUGAGACCGCCGGCGUAACGGAAUUUUGUUGCACCGGCACAUUUAGGGCCCCCUGUUGGCCCCCGUAAGGUUGCUCGUUUCGGGUAAAUAACCGUCUGAUUCGAACAAUAUUUUCAUUGGAGGUCGUGAUAGCGGCCAGCACCGUGUCUAGUUGAGCGUUAUUUUGAUGGAUAUUUUGAUCUACAGUUUGCAGGACUCAGGUCAUCUGGCCGAGUGCCUGAGUUAGACUCGGCUCUUGAUGAACCGACUGUUUACUAGUCUCUCCUCCAACAAGUAGUACGGCCUGAUUCUCAUUCGCAUUUUCGGCGCUACUAGCUUGGUCAUUACCUGAAGGUCUGGAAAUGGCUCUAUUUCGGAGGUUCAUAGCAUUAUCGUCAGCCAUAGGACAAAGUCGAGAUUGGGAAAACCUGAAUGUGUCCCACCGGGGGUGCUAAAAAUUGCUAGGAGCCGAAUUCCCUGAUCCUUGACCUGGUCAAAGAUUUUCCUCGAUAAGCGUGUAGGGAUAUGGAACGACUAUGAAUAGUGACCCUCGAAGUUUGCGCCCUUCGACUGGAUCUAGCGAUUUGGCUGAUGAGGGAUCGGAUCAGCCGAGUUCGAAUACCUUUAUUGUAGACUCGGUUCAGUUGAAUGAGCCGAAGAGGAUGGAAUGCACAGUGAUUGGUCGGCUGAAAGAGCCGAAUUUCUUUAUAUAUUAGAUUGGAAUCAGAAGCUCACAUAAACAAGAGUGUGCCCGUAAGGCAUACAGACUCUGAAAAUCUAAAUUAAAGACUACUCCUAAGAAAAAUAGUAAAUGCGGAAAAAGAAAAGAUUACAAGUAAAACUACUUCUAGAAAAAAGAUAAAUGCAGAAAGUAAAAGUAUUGAAGGCUUCGAAAAUACUAUUUAUAGUAAUAUCAGCCUACAUUAUUGGUCGAUUUUUUUUAGUAGUGAGGGAAGUGGUGUAACCAUGAUCGUGGAAGUUACGCCCACUUCUCAACCGUUCCCACCUAAAGGCUCUCGACCUUGAGGCGCCUUAUUACCGACUCCUGAUUACCACGUGCUCUUAUUUCUUUGGCUCAUACGUGUAAGUUACGAGAAGCCCUAGGAUCUUUUAUCUAGAUACUAUCAAACACCUAGAGGGGGGGUGAAUAAGUGUAUAACCCAAAAACCACAAAUCUCAUUGCGAUAAAAAAUUAAAUGCGAAAAAUAAAAAACACACUGAGAUUUACGUAGGAAACUCCACUUUGGAGAAAAACCCACGGGACCAACACACGAAAAAAAUAAUUCAUUAAGAGAAAAGAUUAUAAGGUGAUUACCGACUCCACGGACUCGACCUCUCUUAAUCUCCUAUGAAUCUCGCGCAAUCCUCCGGGUUGUCCACGCCCUCACGUCCGAAUCCACGAACGCCUCGUACAUGUCCGAAUCCAGGAACGCCACUCGAAUCCACGAGCUCACGAUCCGAAUCCUCGAACCGCCUUCGAUCACGCCGAAUCCACGUUCAUGAAGAAUAUCAUAAUUAUGGUGAUCCUUCGCUUAGAGUAUUGAUGAAGAACCAGAGAAGAAUCUCUAAGCGAAGCAUAAAUCAAUUCGACAUAUAGAUAUCAAAUUUCAAUACCUCGAAUUGACCUAAAAGAGGCUAAUUUGUGGAAAAUAGGUUUAGAACGAAACCCUAGCCUCUAGGAUUUCUCAAUCAUAUAUUCUCGUGAUAUUCUAUUAAUUAAAGAACCCCAAUAACUUAUUUAUAGACUUUAGAAUCAAUUAAAGUCGGAUUAGAAUCAAUAUAAGAAAUUUUACACUGCGUACCGGUAGUGAGUAAGUUGGUACCGGUACCUUAUGACGGAACAGAAAAUUCCUCAGGCUGAGUACCGGUACCAGGCCGAUGCAGUACCAGUACCCGGCCAAUGCAGUACCAGUACUCAAUGCAAUUUCCAGAAUUGCAUCACUCGAACCACUUCUAAUCCUUUAAUCUUUGAUUUAUAUGAUUCUAAUGUCUAUAACUAAGUGUGAAUCACCAUAACAUGAAUUAAAACCUUACGUAAGCAUCAUGAUUCAUGCCAUGAGAUGUUUCUGAGUUCUCGGAAUCUUGGAUUCUUCGAUCUUCGACAAUUUCGCACCGAACCCUUCAAGACUCCGACUCAAAUCACGAAACUUGCCAACACAAAAUACUUAACAAUAUACAUGGGUUAGGUCAGUGCGUUAAUUUUUUGGCAUCAACAGAUCCAAAUUAAAUUCAAAGGGAUCUCGAACUAAAUUAUAAGGGUUCGAUAUAAACCAAGUCUCAACGAGUCCUGAAUCAAGGCAUAAUGGUCAACCCAAACCAGACUCGAAAUGGAUGAACCAAGUGAGAACCUAAAGCGGCUCAACCCAAAUCAAAUAUAAAAGGUUCAAGCCAACCCAAAACCAAAGUCCAUAAAUAAAACCCAAAGAUCCAAAGUCCACAAAUUAAACCCAAAACCCAAAGUCUACAAAUAAAAUCCAAAACCCAAAGUCCACAAAUAAAUCCAAACGACCGUAAAGUCGUUAAACUACACCCAAAUUCAAACGACCGUAAAGUCAUUAAACUAAAUCCAAAAUCAAACGACUGCAAAGUCGCUAAACUAAACAACCAAAUCCAAACGACCGUAAAGUCGUUAAACUAAACCCAAAUUCAAACGACCGCGAAGUCGUUAAACUAAACAAUCAAAUUCAAAUGACCAUCAAGUCGUUAAACUGAAUUCAAAUUCAAAUUACCAUCAAGUCGUUAAACUGAACAUUUGACCGUCAAGUCGUUAAACUGAAUUCAAAUUCAAAUUGACCCUCAAGCAGUUAAACUGAACAAAUGACCAUCAAGUCGUUAAACUGAAUAUUUGACCAUCAAGUCAUUAAACUGAAUAUUUGACUGUCAAGUCGUUAAACUGAAUACUUAACCAUCAAGUCGUUAAACUGAACAUCUGACCGUCAAGUCAUUAAAUUGAGUUCAAAUUCAAAUUGAUUUGUCCCCAAGUCACUAAACUGAGCAAUCAAAUUAAACUCAAAUUGACCGCCAAGUCGUUAAACUGAGCGAACUGAAUUCAAAUUCAAAUGACCAUCAAGUCUUUAAACUGAAUUCAAAUUCAAACCGACCGCCAUGUCGUUAAACUAAGUAACUUAACUUCAAGUUGACCGCCAAGUCGUUAAACUAAGCGAACUGAAUUCAAAUGACUAUCAAGUCGUUAAACUGAAUUCAAAUUCAAGCCGACCACCAUGUCGUUAAACUGAGCAACUUAACUCAAAUCAACCGCCAUGUCCUUAAACUGAAUACCUCAAUUCCAAGCCGACCGCCAUGUCGUUAAACUGAGCGACUCAAUUCAAGCUGACCGCCACGUUGUUAAACUAAGCGACUCAACUCAAGCCGACCGCCACGUCGUUAAACUGAGCGACUCAACUCAAGCCGACCGCCAUGUCGUUAAACUGAGCGACUCAAACCAAGCCGACCGCCACGUCAUUAAACUGAGUAACUCAACUUCAGACCGACCGCUAUGUCGCUAAACUGAGCACCUCAACUUCACGCCGACCGCCAUGUCGCUAAACUGAGCACCUCAACUUCACGCCGACCGCCAUGUCGCUACAUUGAGCAUCUCAACUUCACGCCAACCGCCAUGUCAUUAAACUGAGCGAACCAAUUGCAAACUCCUCUCGACCGCCAAGCCAUUAAACUGAGCAAAUCAUUUCAAAUUCAAUAUGAUCAUCAAGUCGUUAAACUGAGUAUUUCAUCAAUGUACAGUGGGGGUAUGAUCCUGCUUAAGCUAUGUACUUGAACAUUAUAUCAAUUCAAGUUCAUCUUUAUACUACAGUCUCUUUCUAUCAUCAGCAUUAUAUUUGGUCUCUUAAUCGAGAGUUCCUUAACACUGAAAGUAUGGGUUAAUUAACAGCAGAUUCUUGAGUCUGUUGGAAGCCAUGAACCUAUAAUCCUGAUUCCAAAAAAAAAAAACUUAAACAAAUCUAAUCUCUACCAUGAAUGACUACUCGCCUUAAAAAUACCUACGGCGAAACCGGUUCGUUCGCGGUAGACAAGGACAUAGGAAAGCGCCUUCUGCAGUCCCUGAAAGGGUUAGUGCUUUCUGCGGUCGGUGCUCCGCAGCAAAGCAAGGAAUUGGGCUUUCCAUAACAAGUAGUUGUCCCGAUGAGUUUAAGAGGAAGAAAGUGCAUUGUAUUGGAUACGGAAGGAAUACGGAGGGAGCAGUGAAGCAGGACAAGGAAGUCGGGACAACAACUAUAGGGAUUGAGUGUUGUAGAGCUUAGACUCCGAUACCAUGUAAGGUAAUAAUAACAAAGAUAAAUAAUAAAAUUAUUGUAGCUUAUGUGCUAUAUCUUUCUCUAUUGUAUAAUAUGUUAAUACAUUCAAAUAUGUGUAAGUUACAAUGAUAAAGAUAAGUUCUUAAUUAUAAGUUACAAUAGAAAAACAAUAAAGAUAAGUCAUUGUGCUAUCUUAUUGGAGAGAUUUGUGCCAAGCAAAUUCAUGAAGUUGUGAUUGUUAUCCACUGUUGAUCCGGUCAGCACACUCCAUUAACAACUAGAGAUAAAUAAAAUAUUUUUAAAAUUUUAAAGUAUAUAUUAGGUAUUAUACCAAAAUAAAAAUAAGCAAUAAGAAAAACUCUACAAUAGACAACUUGCUGCUUUAGCUUUAGUUCUCAUAGUGAUAUUAUACCAUGAUAGGCCUUUGGCUCAGGCGAUAAUCAUCGUCCUCGUCCUUGUUUGAGUGUGUGAUGCUCUGCUCGGAUCAUUUCUAUCGUUGAUGAAAACAACAAAAAGACAUCUAGUUGAGUAUCUUCAUCGAGUCUUUUCUCAGCAUAGUUUCAGGCUCGAAAAGUUCAGCCCAGCACUACUAGCCGCUCAGCGUCUAGCGAUUUAUUAAAGCUGAAAAUUGAAAGUCUCGAGAUUAAGAAUCCAAAUCACAUUUUGCCUUCUCUAACUCACUUGAUUCUAGGGAUUUAGUCUUGUAUCCGCACUUUUUUAAAAAAUCUAUUGGGCUUUUUUUAAAAGAGAAAGUUGGUGAGGUACUUGUUUUAUUCAUUAAGAAAAAUGAACUAAGCUAUAUGGGGGAGACAGCUAGUGCCUCCAGUGGAGACACAAGGUAAAAAUUGUUGGAGGUUAUGGAUUUUUGGGUGCUUAAAGUAUUACACCAAGAGACAUCAAAAUUUUGGAAUGCUCAACAGUGUUACUUCCAGCUUAGGGAAACCCUAGGAUUAAUAAGCUAUUGGGCUCCAGUUAAUAUGUGCCUUAAUACGCUUUUACCUAUUGGGCUUGUAUGUGAACAUAUUAUUUGAAUUAUAUAUAACAAUAUAUCCAACAAUCACCUCCUAUGUUCACCAUACAGCACAAUCCAUUACGGUGGUCAGUGUAAUGUGCAAACAAAUAUGAAUCAUCCACAUUCAGUACAAGACAAUCAACUCAGAUUAAAAUUUAAUCAUCAAUUGCAAUCCAAAUGAGUAAAUCAUCCUUACCAUGAAUCUGUUCUGAGAUCGGCAUAUCCAAAAUAAUUCUCAAAAUCAGUUCACAACCAACAUAUGCAUAACAGUCAGAUAUAAGUAGGCAAGUCAAAAUAAUCCAAGGCCGGACAAAUGCAAGAAAAAGGCAUAAUAAAAUUCACAAAAUAGAGAUAGCAAAAAGCAAGUCUUAAGUAAAUAGAUUCCAUCAAAAUAGGUAAUAGUAGGUGAACUGUCAAGUCCUCGUACACUCUAAAUGAUAUAUAUAUUCAUUCAUCAAAUAGAUCAUCCUGAUCAGAAUCCCACUUAUUAAGCUCUCCUCCAUCCCUGCCAUCCUCUGUAGAAUAUCAAAUAUAAAUUUCAUAUUAUCAUGAAUUUAAUUAUUUGAAUAAUCCACUAAAAAUAUCUAGUUCUACUAAAAGAACUUAGCAUCAUAACAUCAGGCAUAGAAGAACAUAUAUUAAUGUCAUAAAGCAUCAUAAUAUCAUGUUCAUAAGCAUCAAGCCAGUUUCAUAAAUUAUGAACAAAGCCUAAAUAGUUUGAUUUACAAAGAGCCAUCAACUUAAGUUUAUUUGUAAGAGAAUAAUCAUUGUCUAGUUUCGAACAACACGACCAAUAGUCAAGUCACUUACAAUAAACUAGUCAUAUAAUAUCAAGUUUUAAUAUGGGCCUUAAUACGCUUUCACCUAUUGUGCUGUAUGGUGAACAUAGGAGGAGAUUGUUGGAUAUAUUGUUAUAUAUAAUUCAAAUAAUAUAUUCACAUACAAGCCCAAUAGGUGAAAGCGUGUUAAGGUCCAUAUUAACUAGAGCCCAAUAGCUUAUUAAUCCUAGGGUUUCCCUAAGCUGGAGGUAACAAUAUUGAGCAUUCCAAAAUUUUGAUGUCUCUUGGUGUAAUACUUUAAGCACCCAAAAACCCAUAACCUUCAACAAAAAUUACAUGCAGAAAAGAAAAGAAAGCUUUGUAUACCAAUAAGACUUCAGAUAGAUUCGUAUACUAAGUCUAAAAAUGAAUAUAAAUCAAAUAGCCAAUGUUGUAGUGAGAUCCCUUUCUUUUCUUGCGGUUGUCGCUUUGUCCGACUGGCCUCCCCCAGUACUCUCGCACUUUAUUUGUCCAUCGAGCUGUGGGUAGGCCGUCGUCCGAACAUGUGAGCAAAUAUUGGAGAAAGAUAAUCUAACGAUUAGAUGGUCGCAUGUCUCAAGUUUGCUAGCAUAGAGGAUGAUGAGUUGCUCGUCCGUACGACCUCGUUCAAGGAGGUUGUCAGCAAUAAGUUUGUUCCGAGAAUAGCUAAAUGCUGGGCGGAGAUCUGGGAGGAGCUUCGGACGAGCGGGGGAAUGUUGGGCAGAGAUCUCGAUCGCAACACUCGCUGCAUCAACCUCAGCGACCUCCACCAGGGAAGAAGAAGGCGUUCGCUCUGUCUCCGAAGGGCAGGGAGAAGCUGUCUUCGAAGGGCAAGGAGAAGGAAUUCGCUCUGGAGUACACUUUGCCUUCGAAAGGCAAGGAGAAGCUGAGCAUCGGACAAACAAAGGGCAAGGAGAAAGUUAGCAUCGAACAAAAGCCGGCAGGGACAGCGUAUUCCCUCCGACCAGGCGCUCCUUCAAGCUUUCUAAUAAGCAGAUCUCGUUCAGCCCCGCGGUCACCGACUCUUCAGCCCAUAUGCUUCUCCAGCAAAGACAAAGAUGACUGCACCAGCAAAGACAAAGAUGGCUGCACUUCGACGAACCGCCCUCUUUCCAAAAAAAUCAGUUGGGCGGAUGAAGUAGGAGCUGCAUUAACUCACACCACCUACCUCAUACAUGCGGCUGCUAAUCAUACCUCAGGAUCUUUAACUCCCUCCAGAUCUUUAUCUCCCUCCAAAUCCUGCUCUGCUAACUCGCCGCGAUCUUCUGACAAGCCUCCGCCUGAAGCCUUUAAGAAGACCUUCAAAGAGUCCCUCCUUACCCCUUCUGCCACCUCCUCUACCCGACCUUAUUCUCACUCCUCUGCUCCGAGAUCUUGCACUCGUUCUCGCUCCCCUACGCCGAGAUUUAGCACCUUCUCCUUCAAGGGGAAGUGCUUCAGGUGUCUGGGCAGGGAUUACCGGGCAUCCCACUGUCGUGAACCCCUCCGUUGCGCCAGGUGCUUUAAGUUUGGUCAUUUUUCGAGAGCCUGCAUGAAUCGCCUCCCUAUGGCCGUCUACCGGGCCAUGCGUGCGCGCCCCACCUACCUAAGUGCCUUCGUUCCACUUUCCGACGACUUCUCUGCCCGUCAAAAUAGCCGCCGCAACACCAUCCUUGUAGACGUCAUCCCGCCUUCGAACCUGGGCCAUUUUCCAUAGGAGACUUUAGCCAACGGUCUUGCAAGUCGCUUUGGCGGAUACCCCUCUGACUUCCACGUCGCAAAGUACAGGGAACGAGACUAUGCCGUCUUCCUCCCGGAAUGGGUGCCGGGUGACCAACUCAUUCGCAGGGAGAUCCUCUCCAUCGGGGACAUCCGGCUGCGUUGCUUCCCCUGGGACCCAUACCGCAACGCUCCCCGCCCCCCCUGACCUACAGAGCUUGGAUACGGCUUGUAAGUCUCCCAUAUAAGUGCUGGUCAUCUCGUACUGUGCCGGCGCUUUUCAUUCGAGCUGACGAAUUUACCUCCUGCAUGGUUGACUUGUCCGGCUACCGGUGCCUUGUAGCCGUCAACCACCUCCAUGACAUCCCAGAAAAUCUCGAAAUUAGCUUCGGAGACGUGUCACUCUCCGUCCUCAUCCAGUUGGAAAGAUGGGGUCGUGCCGACGAUAUCGGACGUAACGCCCCACGCAAUGAGCGUACUGAUCAACAUGAUCCCAUCAACCGGAGCCGCUUGGGAGGCCACCUAAUGUCAACCUUCGCAAUUCAGGGAGCAACAGAGGGAGAAACUCAUCCACUGGUGGAUCCUCCAACUCCAACACUUCCUGGAACUCGUCGGAGAUCCGAGAUAGACGGCGCCCGCCGUGCUUCGACAUCCCUGCCACACCAGCCCUUCCCGUAGCUGCCCCCCCUCCGGCUGGAGCCACCCCUCCGGCUGGAGCCACCUCUUCGGCCGGGGCCGCCCUCGAGGCUUCGCCUUCCUCGCCUCGUCGGGCGCCGCUUGUAGCCUCAGCUCCGGCAGCCUUGAUCCCCGAGCCUUCCUCUUUUUCAAAUUCAAAGCAGCUUCCGGGGGCUCCUUCCUCUUUCGUGCUACCUGUCAUUCCCCUCAGUGGCUGUGCCAGACCGUCAAUUCUCCCACCCAUUCUGUCGUCUCCCUCUGUACCCCCACCCCUCCCACCCCCCCCCCCCCCCCGCCGCGCCAUCAUUGCACCCCACCGCGCCGCCAUCAAUGCACCCUGUCGCGCCUUCAUUGCUCCUCUUUCCGUUCUUGGAAACCACCCGACCAUGAGGCAGGUAGUUUUCUCUUUCGGCUGACUUGGGCAAAUCCUGUACGAUCUUCUAUUCUUUGGGGGAACGAGGGAGUCCUCUCUUCGGAUUCUAUCAAGCUUCCUCGAUGCUCGCACCGAAGGCCCUCCUCCUAUCCUUCUCGGUCCCCUUUAGUCUCGGUCUCAGGCCCAUAACCACCCCACCCUUCCUGGUUAACCCCCUCCUCGCCAGGAUUGGAGUGCAGCCCAACUCUUGCCCGAACCAAGUCCCCCUUUGGUCCAACUCAGCCACUUUCGGACUGUCGCCCUCUCUCGGGCCAGUCCAAGAUGGCCUGGGCCCGGACUUCCUUGGGCUUCACUCGACUCGUCUACCUGGACACUACUCUUUUGGGCAGCUUGAGCUAGGGCUCGGCCUUUCAGCUCCUGUCGGACUCGCUAGAGGAGGCCCGUGCUCCGACUCCCUAGGCCUCCAUCCGGUUGGGCUCAGCCCGAGUUUGGUCCCCCUUGGGCUUGGCUCGGACACAGUGCCCCUUGGGCUUGGCUCGAGCGCGGUUCUUGGCUCUGGCGCGGUUCAAACGGGUUCUCUCUGCUAGGCGCCUGGCCCUCUGAGGAUCUAGGCCUCGCCACCGGGCUAGGCUUGGCUGCGGUCCCACCUGGCGGUGGCGCACAGCCGAGCCCCUCCCAUCCUGGAAGCCCGAUUUUCUCUCUGCUAGGCGGUAGGCCCCCUGUGGAUCUGGGCCUCGCCACCGGGCCUGACUUGUCUGCGGUUCGACCCGACGGUGGCGCCCAGUCGUGCCCCCCGCUCCCUGGAAGCACGACUGCACUCGGCCUCGGCUCUCCACUGCUGGACGAUGGGUUCUCUCUGCUAGGCGGUAAGUCCUCUCAAGAUCUGGCCCCCGCCACCGGCUUCGCCACCUAUCCGGAAGUGCCGGAUUUGCCCGACGCCGCUCCUGCCACCCAUCUGGAUGCUUUUGGACUCGACGCCGCUCAUGACACUCCUCCUUAUGAUUUCGGAUGCACGGACGGAAAUCAGGGGCCUAUUGCUGAAGGCACGAGAUCAAGUGCUCGACUACUUAACCGGACAUCGGAUUCUGUUUUAGGCAGAGCAAUUCGCAGGAAAGCUCACCUACUUGAGGGUGAGACUGAAACACUUGAAUCCGCGCUGCGCAACUGGAACAACAGGAAAAUCAAGAUGAAGACCGCUCUCUGUGGGGUCAUCCUCUCUGAUGCUGAAGCUGCGGGCCUCCGCAACUUCAUCCGAGCAGACGUCUAGGUUGCGUCUGUCUCAGCGCCUUCGUGUUUUGGGGUCUAGUCUGUCCUUAUGUUCAAUAUUUUGUCUUGGAAUGUUCGAGGUCUGAACGACCUCGUGAAGCGUCGAUGUAUUAGGUCGGUUGUUUCUGCUUAUUCCCGCUCGGUUGUCUGUUUCCAAGAGUCCAAAAUCGAUACCGUGUCACGGUCCUUUCUUCGCUCAUGUUGUGGCUCUUCUAUCGACAGAUGUCAUUUUGUUCCAGCUAUCGGUGCGUCUGGUGGCAUUAUCACGUGCUGGAAUUCUAAAGUCCUCUCAUGCUCCGAAGCUCUAAUCAGACAACACUCACUUACUCUCCUCCUUACUCACCUAGGAAGUGGGAAAAGCUUCUACCUAACCAAUGUUUACGGACCACCUUCCUGGACUGGGAAGGAUGCAUUUUGCUCUGAGCUCACCGACCUGAAUCACAUUUGUUCCUCCAAUUGGAUUAUCUGUGGCAACUUCAACUUCACCAAAAACCAAUCAGAGAGAAAAGGCAAUCGUUGGAGCUAUAAGGCCAUGACCAUGUUCGCUGAUCUCAUCAACCAUCUUGUGAUGAUUGAUUUACCGCUUUCCAACCAAAGCUUCACCUGGUCGAACAUGCAACAUCAGCCCUCCAUGGCUAAGCUUGACAGAUUUCUCGUCUCUAUUCAAUGGGAUAGAUCCUAUCCCCACUGCAAGGUCAAGGCCCUCCCCAAGAUAACCUCUGACCACUGCCCAAUCCUUCUAUCUACCGCCAUCCUUAGCGCACCGCGAAGGUUCCGGUUCGAGAAAGUCUGGCUCACUAGAGACGAUUUUCACUCCAACAUGACCCUCUGGUGGAAUAAAGUCCCGCCUAAGAACUCGGCCAUCCUCACUUUCACCGCAAAGCUCAGACACUGCAGAACCAGGAUCAAAGAAUGGUGCAAGACAAACUUUCACAACAUCUCAAACACUAAGAGAGCAAUUCAGGACGAACUUCAGCAGAUCGACCUGCUCGAGGAGCAACUCAACUUGCCACAGUCCAAAUUAGACCUACGAGCACACCUUAAGUCCAAACUCCUCUCAAUCCUUUAGGAGGAGGAAAUCCUCUGGAAGACUAGAGCGAAACAAACCUGGCUUAAGGAGGGCGAUGGAAACACCAAAUUUUUUCAUGCAGUGGCUAACUGCCGGAAAAGAAAUAACACCAUUCUAGAGGUCGAAGACGACGACGGCCGGUUACUCGCGAACGAGACGUAGAAGAGAGCAUACUUCUUCCACACCUUUAAACGCCAGUUCGGACAGUUAGAUGAUAAUCUUCCGCUCCUGGGAGACUAGAGCGGCCUCUAUCGUUUUAACAGGCUACUUAACCCUGACUCCCUGACGACGAACUUCACGAUCGACGAAAUCAAGACCGCCACCUUUCAACUAGCCGCUGACAAGGCCCCAGGUCCAGAUGGGUUUUCCCUAACCUUCUUCCAAACUUUCUGGGAAACAAUCAAAGAGGAUAUCUACAAUGUUUUCAUCGACCUACAAAAUGAUAGACUUUUCUCUAGCCCUAUUGAUUUCUCCUUCGUGUGUCUCUUCCCCAAAAAAAAAGGAACGCGCAGAGCAACCGACUUCCAACCGAUUAGCCUCAUCAAUGGACUGCAGAAAAUUAUCUCCAAAAUUCUAGCCAAUAGACUAGCACUUACCCUGCCGUUCAUUAUAACCUCUACGCAAUCAGCCUUCCUAAAGGAUCGGUUGCUCACCGACUCUUUCACCAUUGCCAGCGAACUAGUCAACUGGUGCUCGACCUCGAGUAACGAUUGCGCACGUCUCAAAGCAGACUUCCAAAAGGCCUUUGACAAUGUCAGUUGGUCUUUCCUCGAACGUGUCUUGCGAUGGCUAGGAUUCAACGAAAAGUGGUGGACCUGGAUUAAACAAUGUGUCUGUAACGCCAAAAUUGCCAUUCUGGUAAACGAUACCCCUACCCCUUGGUUCAAAGCACAGAAAGGGCUCAGACAGGGCGAACCUCUCCCCGCGUACCUAUUUCUGUUGGUCGUUGACUGCCUGGCCAGGCUCACCGAAGCUGCUAGGGACAACAACCUGCUCCAAGGCAUAGGCCCGUCGGCCGACACUAAGACGGUGCUAAUUCAAUAUGCAGAUGACACUCUCUUCUUAUGCGAGCCAAGCAAAAAAAUACUUGAAAAACCUACUGUUUAUCCUGAAAAUCUUCGAAUGGGCAUCUGGCCUCAAAAUCAACAACUCCAAAUCGGAGUUGUACUACUUGGGUCAGCAUCCUCUAAAAGCAAACAGACUCGCCAACAUCAUUGGAUGCAAAGUAGGCUUCUUCCGUUCUGCUAUCUAAGCUUACCUCUCCAUACCAAACGACUUCGCAAAAAUGACCGGGACCUGAUUAUCAACCGCGUAUACACCAGAAUCGAUGGAUGGAAAGCUAAAUUGCUGUCCUAUGGCGGAAGACUAACCAUUGUCAACUCGGUCCUUACCAACCUAACUUUAUUCUACCUAUCCGUCUUUAAAGCUCCCAAAUGGGUUCUACUAAGGAUUGAAGCCCUACAUAGAGCAUUCUUCUGGAAAGGGUGUUCUAAAAUAUCUAGAGGAGCAUGUCUCGUCAACUGGAAAUCCAUCUGCAAAAGCAAAAGGGACGGGGGACUUGGAAUUUUAGAUCUGGAAUCCAUGAAUGCAGCACUGCUCAGCAAAUGGUGGUGGCGUUUCUUCACUGAACCACAACUGUCGUGGUGCAAUCUAGUUAAAACCCUCUACUACACGAGACGUAGCCCGUUACAUGAAGGUACAGGUUUUGUACCGCACUCACAGUGGUGGAAAGGAGUACUACGAUAUCGGGAUGUCUUCAGAUGCAGUAUAACUCACGACCUGGGUGACGGGAGGAACAUCAGACUCUGGACUGAUAUUUGGAUUGGAGAAGCGCCCCUUAGCACCGUGUUCCCAAACCUGUUCGCCCAGACCAGGAACAAGAAUGUCAAAGUCUCACAAUCCUGGAGCGCUCGUGGAUGGAGAUGGCGCUUCCUUUGUAGGGGCUUCUCGGACUCAACCUCCAGUGUUAGUGGCAGACAAUUAGCCCAAUUCAAAGACCACCUCAUACACAACAGCCCACAAAACUCACCUGACAAACUAAAAUGGAGGUGGACCGCGAAUCAACAAUUUACCGUAAAAUCGGUCUACAACUUCAUCACAGACUUAGGCCACAGAGACCCCGCUAAUAUCUAUAUCUGGCGGCUGAAAAUCCCACCCAAAAUCAAAAUCUUCACCUGGCUGUUGCUACGCAAAAGAUUACCCACUGCUGACAGGCUGCUGAUUUGCGGAUUGAUAGUGGACGAACAUUGUGUAUUCUGCGCCUCUUCCACGGAAAACUGCGACCACCUUUUCUCCAAUUGUGUCUUCAUCCGUUUCCUUUUACUUUCCUCAGCUGCCGGGGUCAUCCAGUCUUACACCAGCGGGGACGUCCGUGAUCUCUGAACCGAAACCGCCAAAAUCACCGACGCAGCGUCGCGAACUAAAGGACUAACCUGCCUAGCAGGAACCUGGUGGGUCGUUUGGACGAAAAGGAACCACAUCAUUUUUCGGGAAAAGUUACACAAUGCUAUACAGUCUUCAGUAAGGCUAUAGCUCUUGUUACGUGACUGGUGCAAGCACCUCUGAUUCGCCUGGGUUCUAUGUCUCCACGCCUGUCUCUCACGUCUUCUCUUCUAAUGUUCUAGUUUUCUUUCUCUUUCUCGUUCCCCUUGUUGUCAUUCUUUUUUCCUUCUUUCUUCGGAAGCCCCAGCUGCUUCCAUCUUGUACCGUUUAGUUCAUAUCUUUAAUGAAUAAAGCAGAUAGCUUGCUACCUAAUUCUCAAAAAAAAAAAAAAAAAAAAAAAAUCUUUUUUUCUAAGCAUCAACAAAACGAAGAACUUUACUUUCUUGGAAAAUUUCAGCCUUGAAAUUUAUGGGCUCAAAUAGUCCUUGAUCCCUGCAGUCGAGAUGAAAGGUGGAAAGUGAUUUGACGGUGAAAUAUUUAUUAGUCGUUCAUCUCUGACGUAUUGAAACAGGAUUAUUGGUCACUCUUACGACUUGACUAGAGGAAAAUUGAACUUUUCGCUUUCUGUUUUUCGACGAAAAAAUGAAAACUAAAGAUGUGUAAAAAAAAUUUCAGUCAUUUAUUUUCACCGAACUAAACAAAUGUAUUUUUUUUUUUUCUUUUCAACCAAACAAAUAUUGAUAAAAAAUAACUUUUUUUUUUCUUACACACCAAACACUACAAAACAUAAAAAGAAAAAUUCUACCAAAAAUUUUUUUUCAUGAAAAAUUUUUUUUCACGAUAACCAAACGGACUUAAGCUUAUUGUUUCCGUUUCCUUGAUUCAUUCCUAACCCCCUUCAUUUUGCUCUUACAAAUAUUUUUCCAGUUCACAUGGCAGGCCUCCAAGUGUCGUGAACAAGUAGUAUUUGAACAUGGUAAAUCACAGCUUGUCAUUACAACAAAAACGGGAUAUAGCGACACUUUUAAAUGUCGAUAUAGGUCAAAAAAAGUGCUGCUCACUAAAUUACCGACACUUUUUAAAAGUAUUGCUAUAUGUAGGGUCGCUAUGUAUAUAGUGACAAUUAAAGAGUGUCGGUAUAACAUAAAAAGAAUGCUGCUAAUUUAUCAACACUUAUUUAAGUAUUUAGCAAUCGCCGAAACUCUACCUCGUUGGUUGAGGUGGCGGAGGAGGAGGAGAGGGAAGGCCUCUUCGUUUAGGAUUUCAGUAGAUUGAGUAAGGGGAGAAGGGGAGAUGGUAAUCGAUUUUUCUUUUUUUUUUUCUUUUCUGUUUGUAAUCGAGCCGAAUGGGCUAGGUGGGAAAGGUUGAGUAGAAUAAACUUUUAUUUUUAGUUGGAUUCGGCUUUAUAUUUAUACAUUAGUAGAUUUUUUUUUAAUUUUUGGCAUAAAUAAAAUAUUUACAAAAAGGGUCCCAAACAUGUGUUCCUAUAAUCUAAUCUGUUGUAGUGUAUUGUGUUCACCUAAUAGUAUUUGAGCUCAGUAAAUCAACUGUCAUGUUCAAGUAAGAUAUUAUGCUGCAUAUGAUAAAGUUCUGAAGAGCACGGUAAAUUAUUUAUCGUAUUUAUGUAAAAGAUUCUCUUGGCCUUUUGAUUGUCAAGCGCCGUUUCCAUGUGAAAAGCAUAGGAUUAUUUCUGCAAUUUAACUUUAUUUAAGAUCAAUUAUGAAAUAAAAAAUUUAAGUAUAUAGGUUGAAUGCAAGAAAAAAUAAAAAAACAAAAUAGUAAAAGUUAAAAAGAUAUAAUAAAUAAUUGGAUGAUAUUCACCAAAUUUUCGAAAAAGUCGAAAAGUUUUGUUACUAUCUUGCCAAGAAAAAGUGUUGUGGAAAAUAGAUGGAAAAGAAUCCACUCCACGUUGGAAAAAACACAUUUUUCUCCAAAUUCGGAGCACCUAGCGUUACUUUCGAAUUUUUUAAUAAAAUAACUCACUAAAAUUUUGUAAUUUACUAAAUAACCUUGCCAAAUUUAUAUUUGACAAAUUAAUCCUUUCUUCACCACUUAGGAGAUUAGAAGUUAUAUUUGAUUGUUAGGAUUAUAUGGAUAAAUUAUUAGGAUUUUCAGAUUGUUAAGAUUAUAUGUGAUUUGUUGAAAUUUUUAUGUGGUUGUUAGGAUUAUAUAUAGAAUAUGAAAAAAGACAAUAAAUAAGCAAACAAUAGUGAAUGAUUCAUCGCUUUUGUGGACGGCGGUAAGAGAAAAUUCCAACUAUAUGACAAAAGAAGGAUUAGUUUGCCAAAUAAAAAUUUAUAGGAUUAGUUACCCAAUUAAAAAAUUUUAUAGGACCAUUUUGAAAAAAGUCCUUACUUUUUCUGUAAAUUAUUCGCCGUCUUUAAGAGAAAAUUCCAACAUGGCUCCUAUAUGACAAAAGAAAGAUUAGUUUGUCAAAAGAGAUUUUAUAAGUUUAGUUACCCAAUUAGAAAAUUUUAUAGCAUCGUUUUGGAAAAAAGUCCUUACCUUCUCACAUUCUUCACGAGUAUCACAUCACCUGUAAUAAGAAAUUAAUAAAAGAGAAAUAUUAUUUGUACAUCAAAAAAUAAGGUGUAAAUCUUAAGAAUUUACCGACUGUUUCUCACGCAAGUGGCAAAGAGCUUGCUGAUCGGUAUCUAAAGUCUCAAAUUCGAAGCCUAAUUGCUUUACAUUUAAAGCUGAGUUUAUUUUUAAAAAAUAAAUAAAACGGAUAGCAUAUUACUUUUUUUUUUCUAAAAAAAAAGUCUCAAGAAUUCGUUUAGUUCUUGUUUUCUCAAAAGGUUUACACUAGAAAUAACCAAAAACAGUUUAUGUCCAAAUCAAUCCAAAUCAAACGGUACCUUACUACACACUUUCUAUAGGAUGGGUCGCGAAAAGAACGGUUCCAAAUCACGAUUGAUUCCUUAUUCAAAUGAUAAAAUUCUCGAUUUUCUGUUUUUAAAAACAGAAAUUGCUCAAUUCUAAAAAAAAAAUUUAAAGUUGAAUUAAAGUUGAGAGGAGAGGAAUCAAGAAAAUUCCUAAGUUGAGGAGGCCGUUUCAAAUAGCCUAUACUUGAUGGGAUAUCCAUGCGUCGGCUAGUUUUUUCUGCACUUUUUGCACACGUAGUCAUUAAACUAGUCAUCAAGAAACGUAAAUUCAUCUCCACUGUGGCGUCGUUUAGUUAGAUAUAAUUAUAAAUGCAAUGUAAUUAACGAUGCAUGCAGUUGAAAAUACAGCAAUUACAAUUAUAUGAAUUCUGUUCGGUUGAAUGUGAUAGAAAGCGUUGUAAGUGUAAAUAAUUUGUUUGGUUGUAUGCAGUUGAGAAAUAAUUUUAAAAAUUUUAUCAUUUUAUAUAAAUGACGGUUAGAUUACCUCCAAUGUGAAAAAAAAAAAUAAUUUUUAUUUAAAAAAUGUUGAGGAGGUAAACAUACUUUUUAUUUAAAAUUACUCUCUCCAACUGCUACAGUUGGAACUACAGCCAAUUUAGAUGUAAUUCGAACUGCUUCAGUUGGGCCUUCUCCUGCAGUUUCUACUGCAGCAGUUGAAGUUAAAUAUAUCAAACCAAACACUAAUUUGUAUUUAUAUAAUGUUACAACUGCAGUGUAGUUGCCACUAUAUGCAACCAAACCAAACGGGCUUUAAUAGAUAUAUCUUGUCAGAUAUGCUUUCACUUUUUCUCGUGUUUCGUGGCCGAUGUAUAUCGCCGUGAGAGGCAACCCUUGAUCAUCAUCAUCAUAUGAAGGCACAAAUCCUGAAGCUUAUCAUUUCUAAUUAAAUUUCGAUAUACCUACGUCAUACCUAUCUAGUACUAACGAAAGCAUUUUUAUUUCAGGACUUCUUAAAACUAUAUAUCAAUAUUACAGUGCUUCUAAUUUUUUGCGCGUCGAAUCCAUGCCGCAUGUUUUAAGAUCCACCUCAACGUGACAAACAUAAUAAUGUUUCCCUCUCGCUCCAAGAGGAACAUACGUACAUAUAUACAUACAUACAUACAUACAUAAAUUCUGAUCCCGCAAAAAAAUAGAAGCACAAAAUAAAUGAAUGCUUUGGAAAACAUUUUUUUUCUCUCUCUUUACUUUUUAUCUAUUCGUAUAUUUUUUUGAGAGAGAUAAGUAGCACGCUACCCGCUUCGUUUAUUUCAUUUAGAAAUAAACUUAGCUAGAAACGUGAAUCAAUUAGAAUUCGAACUUGGAACCUCGAGUACCAACCAUCAAAUCCUUUUGCCACUUACGCUAGGGACGGUCGGUUUUAUCUAUUCAUAUAUUAUUCAGCAAAAAAAAACAAAAACUAUUUGAAAUGAGACAAAAUAGAUGACACCAGCGUGCUCAUGUCACCGCCAGCAUUGGAGCGCCGGCGGCUUUCUGGUCAAAGAAAGAGGACUGACUAAUCAUUCACAUCACCAAAAGCUUUGCUUUCAAAGUAAUAAAUAAGUGAUGCAUCUAAUGUGUGCUCUUUAUCCCCAUACAGAGAAUCUACAAAGGCUAUUCAUCGCCACCACAUACCAAAUCUGGCCACGUAGAGAAGAGGUUUCCUUCGCAGGAGAGAUGAUGCCGUCGCCGAUGCCGAUGCCGAUGCCGACGGCGACGGUUAUCCUAAGGAUACGGCAUCGUCUCUCCGGCGACGGUAACCUCGCCUACGAGAACAAUUAUGUUAACUUCAACUCUCCACAUGAGUUCCAGCCUUCCAGGUACCAGUUUUCAUACCAUGCUUCUUUUUGUCUGGUUCUUGGAAGUAUUUUGCAGUACUUGACAUAUACUGGUAUUCACAUACAUCUAAAUAUCCGAAAUAAAUAAAAAAAUAUGUUUAUGAACUUUAUAACCCUCAAAAAUAAAACAUAUUAUUACAUAUUCAGUCCAAAAACUCAAAUAACUUUGAGCUCAUUUGUCCAGAUCAACUCUCUGUUUUAUUUUUAGGUGAUAACUUAUGGAGCUUACCCAAAUUUUGUAUCAUUUGGAAAUGAAUAUCCAACUUUUAAAAAUUUUUGAAUUCACUAGUUUGACAAUUCAAAUAGCUUGAUUUGCUUUCUUAGAAGUAAUUAUCUGCACCUGAUAUCAAAAUAUAUGUAUGCUAUACCUUAAUUUUUUUUUUUAAAAAAAAAAUGCAUCUCCUGUUGUAUAUUCAAAUGGUCAAUUUUUAACUUGAAAAGAAUAAAAAAAACAAAACAAAACAAAAAAAAAAACCAACGACUCAUUGGAUGAUAAAGAUCAAACAAAUAAAUGAAAUUAAUAACCACUAAAGAUGCGGUGUACGAGUGUACAAAUGCACAGGUGCAUGCAAUAAUUUUUCAAAACUAAUAAACAACUAAAAUCAAAUAAAAAUAAAAAGUAGUAAAAUCAAUAUUUUUAAAGAUUAACUAGUUGUUUCCGAACGACCUGAAGUUCCGCUUAGCUGCAAACAUUUUCACCUUAUUUUUAUUAUUCCAUGUGGGACUGUUCUCACAUAUAAAUUCCUAGCAUUCAUCUAUACAUCUAUAUAUACUUAGUAGGGGUAAACUAAAAAACUUAAUAGGUGGGAAAAAUCUUUCAAAUGGGAUUGAUGCUACGAUAUACGUAGCCCAGCAGAAUCAUCUAUCUUCUAACUGUUUCUUACAGAAACAUCAUUAUCUUAGGUGUGGAUAUUAAUCCACUUGGUAGUUUUAGUGUUCAAACUUAAACAGAAAUAACCCACCAUCUUGAGCAGGAAGGGUGGGUGACUCGUCGCCUACAAGUUAAAACCAUUUAAGAAAAUUCUCAUACAUGUCAAAGAUUUACACUGAAUGUAUUUCUCCUAUUUCAUACAUUCAAGACAUGGUGAAUGGCUCAUCAUACAUGCAAAGUAUCAGAACUAAUUUAUGGAAACAUAUUAGUUUUAAUCAAAAGCAGCUGCAAUGUAACUAACACGAGUGAAUGAUAUACCUCUUGCAACCAUUUGAGUACCUUUAAUGUGAAAAUUUAAGGUUGGUGACUACUCGAGCCCAUAGUCCUCGCCAAAGUAUUUGUCCACCAAAGUGUUGGCCAUAUUCCGCAUCUCUUCAUUCUCAUGAAAUUGAAACCUUUCCAUCGCUUCGAUCCCGUCCUCCCUCUCGACAAGCUUUGGGCCUUCUCCGUUGGGUAAUCCCCUCAUCACCUACAAUAAAAUGCAUCCAAAAAAUUAAGACCAAGAUGUCUUACUGUUUGAGUUUUGGCUAAGCUAAGUUCAAGAAAAAAUUUUCUUUUUUCCUUUUUUUGGGGGGGGAGUUAACAGAAUUUAUCUGCUCCUUUUAAUAGAAAGUUAUAAACAGUUAAUUUAUAAUUAUACAAUAGCUAUAGCUCCCCAAGACCUUGUUAGAUUUUAUUACCAUUUUUCUGCUUUUACAAACAAAAAUUUUAUAGGAAAAUGCUAGCUGUACACCCCAAAAAAGGGUGUAUGAUUUAUACCCCUUCAUCCUAGGAUUCACAAAGCCCUCUGAGUUUUUAAUAUUUAAAAAAGAAAAGUUGACAAGACAAGCCAAAAGUUGGCCCCUGGAUGAAGGGAUGUAAGAUUUACACCUUUUAGGAUGUACAAGUAGCAGGAUGUGUUGAAGGUACACUUCCGUACUCUUAUCAAUUAUCAUUGAUCACCAAACUUGCAAUGCAAGAUGGCCGGAUGCCAAAAGGCAUUUACUUUUGCCAGGAGCCAAAAAAGCAUUUUCUUUAGAAACCUAAGUAAGAAGUUGUUAUUGUUACAGUUGGAGGGCCCCAAUACUCUCUUUUUUACACCGUUUUUUUUAAAUCUCGGAUGUGAUUUCAUGCUGAUAAACUGUCUUUCUGAGGAAUGUCAAUAUCUAGAUUCCAAAUAACAUAUACAGGUCUUGAGUCUCUUGACCUUUUUGUAAGAGCUACUAUAUAACACAAGAUUAAAUUACCAAGUAAUUCAAAUUCUAGGCUAUUGCUUUUAGUUAUAAUAUCACUAGGAGACAAUAGUAAAGCAAAACCAAUAAAAAACGAUAUGUUGUUCCAGAAAAUUAGAAAAUCAUAGAGGACGAGAAAACGAGACAUAAAUAGACUCACCAGUUCCAGGAAUUGAAGGCCGAGUCUUGCACUCUCUAUAUCAGCAGAUCUAAUCAAAUUUAAAAAGCCAGGAAGGCACCCACUGUCGAUGAGUGAAACCAAGUGGACGACAAUUAUCCCGGGCUGUUCAUUGUUCUUUGGCGGAGCAACACAAAGAUUACCCAGAGUAAAUGCUGCUUCCUUUCUUAUGUCAAAUGGGGCACUUGAAAGGAAAUUUAUCAGCAAAGGAGUGGCUUCGCUCGAGUAUAUUAAUCUCUUGUGUUCAAGUGAACCAGCUGCUAUGUUAGAUAAUACCCAUGAAGCCUCCUAUAUCAUGAUUUCUGAAAUUUUGUUAGGAAAAAAAAAAAUCGAAAUAUAGAAUCAUCUAUCUACAUGUAUACCCUGUAAAACCUACAUUUUCAUAUAUAUAUAUAUAUACAACCCCAAAAUGUAAUUUCUUACAAUAACACCCUUAAGCCCUAUUUGGAUGUUAGAAUAAGUUAUCCGGUGAUAUCCAUUUGGGGAUUAUUUUUUAUUGUGGUUGGAAGCUAGGAGCAUGAUCAAAUAUCCUGAAUGGAAUAGAAUAUUGGGCCAUCAAGUCAUUUUUUUAAAAAUAAGAUAAAUCACCUCUUAGGUAAAAUAUGCAAUCGAACCAAAUCUUGGAUAUCAAGACAAUUCAAGAAGCAAAAAUCAAACUCCUCUCUUACAAUCAUACUAGAAAAUCCUCAUAACAAAUAAGUUAACAUCGAAUAACUUAUUCCGACAUCCAAUAAGUGCCUUAUCUAAGUUUGGAGGUCAUCCAAUUCAGGGUGGAAUGUAAAGUUGGUUUUGUAUUACAGUAACCUUUUUUGCAUUUUCCCAAGAGGGGUGUUCUUGAAAGUAUAAGGGCAUUUAUGCGAGAGAAAAAUUUUAUGAAAGGCAUUAUUGAAAUUCAGAUUUCAAACGGUUGUAUAUAUAAUUAGAUUAUUUUGCACGGAUAUUUGUGUAAAUAUUUCUCUUUAAAGGAAUCUUUACAUGCAAAUCGUCUAUUUACCUAUAUACCAUGUAAAUAUCUGAUUUUCAUAUAUAGCUCUGAAAUGUGCAGUUUCUUACAAAAUGCCCUUAUCUUCAGAUGGGGUGAUCCCAUUAAUAUGUGAAUUCUUGUAUUAGAAGAUUCUCUUCUAACAAGGGAACCUUUUUGUAAAUACAAGAAUACAUACGAAAUAAAUAAAGUUUUUUAAGUGCAUAAAUGAAAUUUUCAAAUUCUGGAGGGGUAAAAAUAUAAAUAUCUCAAAAUUAAAAAGUUAGUACCUUUUUCAGCACUCUGUGCUCGCUUUUCAGACACUUUAUAAGACCUGAUAAGAGUUCGUCUGGGAGCUAUUCUGUUAGUUCUUUCAGUUAAGCAUCAGAAAUAUGGAUGGUACACAUUUCCAAGGCUGAAAAGGUUGUUAAUGCUAACCUGUGAUAGUAUGUCCGACAAUCAGGACCACAUCAAUCAUAUAGCUGUCGCUAGCUACAAGGUUACCGAGACUUCGAAGUACCUAAGUUACACAGCAUACCAAUCAGUACAUAGUUUUGAUAAAUGCUCAUAGAUAGAGACAACUCGGACAAAAAUGCAAGUUUGUGAUAAAUAAUUAGGAUUUACAAAUUAUGAAGGGCAGUUUAGUCCCUAAGAUCACCUGACAUCAUUAAUUAUAUCCAGAUUUGGGAUAUGAUAGAAUGUAGAUGAUUCGACAAAUUGUCCAAUUAAGAUGCAAUUAAGAACAAGGAUUUAAAUGCCGUGGCACGGGGUCGUGCCGGAAACUUGCCGGCACGAUAUGGCACGGUGCGUGCCGAGCCGUGCCGAUGCAUGCCGUUCAAAAAAAUUCUUGUGUGCCGACACAUAAUAGCAUGAAAUAUUUAUUUUCUUUAGCAACAAAAUAUUCUAACUAUUUAUUGUCUUUUUAUCACAUCUUUUGAACUUUAUUGAGGAAAUUAUUUAUUAAUUUAAAGAAUAGAGGGUUUUGAGCUAUGCCAUUGGCAUGAGAUCUAUAUCGUGCCGGUAUCUUGUUGGCACGGUAUGGCACGGUGGAUACGGCCCGUGCCGACGGGCACUUAAAACCUUGAUUAAGAAUACAUAAUCUUGAAAUUAUAUAUCCAUUUACCAAACAAACUAGAGUUUUUCUCUCGCAUAUAUGUUAUAUAUGUAAGUGUUCAUACGAAAAGUCAUGCGGUGAUAGAUGCAAUAACAUAUCCGCUUCAACUCUGUAAUUCUAAUUUCCUUUCAAAAACUCCCUUAGCAAUACAUGAUUUCGAUCAGCCUACUUCAGUUUUUUAAAAUUUACUCCCAUAUUCAUGACAUUUUUUGACACUUGAUAUGCUCGCCAAAUACCAAUUGUACUUCUCAGUCACACUAGUGGGAGAGUGCAUAUAAAUGAACUUAUACACACGUAUAGGAAGAGGCAUAAAAAUUGUGUAGUUAAACUUCAGCUAAAUUGUAUGAAAAAUAUGCAGAUUCGAAUCCAUACAGUUAAUGAUACUCUGAAGUAACUUGGAAAGAUCUUGUAAGCAUACUAUAAUAUUCACCACUGAUGAAAAAUAAAUCAAAUUUUAGCUAUCGUCUUCACCAAUAACUGAUGGGUUUUAAGUUCUAGAAUGGCAUGAUGGGUUUAAACUAUGUCCACUGCGAUAAAACCAGCUCAUAAUUCUGCUUCUAAAGUGUAAGUAGAAAGUCACAUUGAGAACUAACCCACAUAUUUACCUCAGAACUUUAACAUUGAUGAUGGUGUUUUCAAGAUUUAGAUGGAACACUAAGAUUAUUAUCCAGCAUAGAGACUGAAGUAGAAAUCAGAAACUCAAGCAAAACAAGCAUAGAGAAUGAAAUUAAAUAAUUUUACAUAGAAAAUUCAGUUUAGGAAGAAAAGAAAUUACCGGAAUGAGCAUCUGCAAACUCUCUGAUGCUACCAACCGUCCAACCAGAAGUCGAACAACAUCACUUUUGACCAACAAACUAGUAGCCUUUUCAGAAAGCGCUGAAAGAUACACAAUUACCCAUGCCACUUCUGUCGCCAGCUCAUCAUCCCUAAAAAAGAGGGAGCCCCAAACUAUUCAAUUCUUCAUUAUCAUACUAAAUAUCAUAUUGUAAAAAUAUAAUAAAUAUCAUAAAUUCUUAGUUAGGUGUUGGAGGGAAAGGAAGAAUUCAUAUUGUAAAAAUAUCAUAAAUAUCAUGGACUGUCAUGUUAAAUGCCCCCCAUACUGUUCAGAGUAAUGUAGUAGCAAGGGGUGAAGUAUGCCACAUGGCUGCUUCAGAAGGAUUAUAAUAUGAUGUCUCAAGAAAUGCCAUUUCAAUUCUUCCAUAUGUUAUGGUGGAACCUAUUCACCAAACUAGCUAGAGUUAAUGGCAAGGAAUUUAAGUGCCGUGGCACAGAAUCGUGUCAAGCAGUUACCAGCACAGUACCGUAUGGCACAUGUCAUGCCAUGUCGUACUGAUGUGUGUUGUUCUCAAAAAUACCUGUAUGACGACACACUAUGGCUUAAAAUAUUUAUUUUCUUUGAUGAAACUCUUGCCAAUUUUUUUAAAGAAAAUAGAGUUUUGAAUUGUACCAUCGGCACAAAGGUAGCAUCAUGCCUAUAUCUUAUCGGCUUGAUACGGCACAGUGGGCACAGCAUGUGUCAAUGGACACUAAAACUCUUGGUAAAUAGUUUAAAUGACAUAUAGAACUGAUACUAAGUUACUAACUUGCUAAUAAAUUAUGAUAAGCAUAUAAUGGCUUUAUUGAUCUAUUUUACGGUGCAAUUUUUCUGCACAUUGAGCUAAUAUAAGAAAGGAUAUCAUCUAAUUGAAUCUCAAAGGGGCCAAUCACAAACUUAUAUGCGUCCUCCUAAAAGUAGUUGCACCAGAAGCUGGCACAAUUCAUUCAUGCAUGCUUAGUGUAAAUGGUAACUAAAUCUGCCCCACAGGCAGUAGAAAUAAAGAUCAUGAUGACUUACACUUAGUUUUGGGGUAAAAAAAACAAUUAGAACAAGGUAACUUUUUGAUGAUCUUGCAUAAAAAUGACGUAGUGCAGGAAAGAAGCAAAAGAGACGAUGUUUAUUAACCAACCAAAUACGUACGCCUUUUUCAAGUGCCAAACGAUUGCAUCUAAUAGCCCAUCAACCCUUAUCAAUUCAUUCGCAGCCUUGGGAUCAGGUCCCUGAACACAUAUAAAGAAAGAUAAAAUGCAUUAUAUAAACAACUUUAUGGCAGUUGCCAUCAUAAUUUAACCACUGAGUGCAUAUAAAAAAAAAGAAAGAAAAUAAAUGGACUAGAGAAUCAUGCUUGGAGGAUAGCGCUGAAGUCUAGUUUGCCUCCUCCCACUAGGUUUACUUGAGAGAAACUUAUACUAUAAAAUUUAUAAUCCUACAGUUAACUUGCCAAUGGAAGCACUAACAACUAAGAAUCUGAAGAAUGAACUGCUAGAAACACUACUCUAAGAAGCCAAAUGAGAAAUAAUACAUAAGAAAUCAAAGAGUUUGGGUACUACAAAAUAUUAAAUCAAGUUAAGAAUAUGAAAAAUUUGUAGGUUGACAGUUCAUUGUUUGAUAGAUGCCCGGUAAUAGCUUGUAGCAGCUUCAAUCCAAAGCACUAGUACUUCAUUAAUAGCACUACAAUUCAAAAUGAAAUGUUGUGGCUCUCUAAUGAUCGCAAAAGUUGCUUAAGAGACUCAUAGAAAAAGAUACUUGCAUAGCAUAUAUGCCGAGCAAAAUGGAAUUAUUAUAUACCCUUCAGUCACUUAUUAUAUAUAUAUAUAGAACCACGCUGGAAUGCUUCUAAAAGCACCAAAGCCUUGGUGCUAUAAUUUUUUAUCCCUUAGAUCUACCUUUUUCGUCAUUGGAUCAAAAGUCAACAAUAAUAGUUACUUGUGGAGCCCACUAUUGUGCAUGAUUCAAGAGCCGUUAGGGUUAAUCUAAUAGCCAAAAACACCUUGGCGCUUCUAAAAGCACCCAAGCGGACUCUCAUCUCUCUCCCUCUCUCGUGCUUGUGGGUUUUGGCCCUUGGAUGAAAGAUUGUGGGGUUAGAAUGAUAGUGGUUCCCAUUGGAUUUAGUGGUGGUUGGUGGAAUAGCCUGACCCAAGAGGUAGAAAUGGUCAAAGGGAUAGAUUUAAUGGUGAAAGUUGGUAGCACCGAAUGCUUGAUGCUAUCAACAGCAUCUCAGCAUAUCCAAUAUAUAUAUAUAUAUAUAUAUAUAUAUAGAGAGAGAGAGAGAGAGAGAGAGAGAGAGAGCUAGGCUGGAAUACUAUUAAUAGCACCAAUGACUUGGUGCUAUUAAGUUUGCUGCCCUUAGAUUUAACAUUUUAAUUAUUUUUACCCGUUAGAUUAUACUAUUCAACCAACCACUCACUCAACCCUAGGGGGCCCACAUCAUCCUAACCACCCAUUUCUCAAUCCAAGGGCUAAAAAAUCAAUAGCACCAAUAGCUUGGUGCUAUUGAUAGUAUUCCAGCCUAGUUCUAUAUAUAUAUAUAUAUAUAUAGAGAGAGAGAGAGAGAGAGAGAGAGCUAGGCUGGUAUACUAUCGGUAGCAUGGAGGCCUCCGUGCUAUCAAGUUGUUUUCAAUGAUGCGGCUUCCAAAUCAAAGAACAGCUUCGUUAGACUUAAUCUAUAAUAUUUAAAAUAUUUGGAACUAAAUUUCAUAAUUUUUCGAUAUUAUUUGACUAGUGAUCAAAAGGUCUCAAAAUUGAUAAUUUUAAUGGUUGAUGUGACGCGUUUGUGAAUUUAACGGUAUAAAACAAUCCAAAUCUGAUGAAAUUUUUAUAGAAAAUUCUUUUCAAUAUUUAGAGUAAGAUCAGUACCUUUGAUCUUAAAUUCAAGUCUUUUAUUAUUAUUUUUUAUGAGAUUUUUAUUUCUAACUGUUCAUUUUUAGACUACUCGUUUGAUAGGUAAAUGAUGUCAAAAAAUUAUGAAAUUUAGUUUCCAAAUACUUUCAAUAUUGAAGAUUAAGUCUAACGGAACCGAUCGUCGAUUUGGAAACCGCAUCAUUGAAAACAACUUGGUAGUACCAAGGCUUCCGUGCUACUGAUAGUAUAGCAGCCGGACUCUCUAUAUUAAUAUAUAUAUAUAUAUAUAUAGAGCCCGACUACUAUACUAUUAUGAGAACGAUUGUCCUUGUACUCAUAAGUCAUUUUCGAUAAUAGAGCCUUUGAAUCGACGAUCCAUACCAUUAAAUAUGAUUUUAGAGCAUUUAAACAUUCUAGAAAACGAAUUUCAUGAUUUUUUGACAUCACAUACCUUACGAUCAAAGUACCUCAAAAUUGACUUUUUUAACAAACAGUAUGCGGUGUCUUCUAGUUAACAGUGUAGAAGAAUUGGAAUCAUUUGAAUUUUUAAUAGAAAAUUCUAUUCACUAUAUAGAUCAAGAUCAAUAACACCGAUCUUCAAUUCAAGAUCCCUAUCCCUUAUUUUUAGGAGAUUGUUCAAUUUUAACCGUUUAUUUUCUACCCACUUGAUGGACUUUAUUAUGAAUUCGAAAUAUUUCGAAAUUCGGUUUCUAGAUAUUUCAAAUGCUCAAGAUCAUAUUUAACAGUAUGGAUCUUCAAUUUGAAAGUUCUAUCACCGAAAACAACUUAUAAAUACAAAAGUCUUUGUACUCAUAAGAGUACAGCAGCUCUACUCUAAGCACAAACAUACACUUUCAUACUUAACAAAUUGCACUCUUUAUAAAAAAGUUCUAAUACAGAUGCAACUUAGCCCCAUGAAUUAGAUGACUCGGGUUCUUUCUUAAGAAACUGCACCUUCCAAGGGUAUAUAAUGAAAAUUUAGUUAUUACAAAAUAUAUGUAAAUAGAUGGUUUGAUGGGGAUAGAAAUAUAAAAGCCCCUAUAGAAAUUUACUGAGAAGUUGGCUACUUCCCGCUGAGAGAUAUCACAAACCUUAAUGAGAUUUGACAAUGCCCAAGAAGAUGUUCUUGAUGUAGAACCCUUAUUUGACAUCAUUAAACGUGCAAGAGGAAAUAAUGCUCCCUGUGCUAGUAAAAUGUUUCUCAACUCUUCUCCUUCACCAGCAACAUUACCCACGGCCCAUGCACACUGCUCAGCAACGGGAGUAGAACUCUUCUCUAUCCAAUAUAGACAAGCAAAAUACACAUUUACAGCAAAAAUUAAAGGAAUCUCAUUCAAAUAAGACAAUUAUAAAUAUUUGUGUUUUCAAUUGACAGGCUAAUUUAAGAGUAGCACAAGAAAAUAUAUUAGUACAGAUUAAAUAUUUGAAUUCCAUCAAUACCUAACACUUUAAAGUGGGGUAGGCAAUGCUGUAACAAUUUUCAGAGGGGCAAGUGAUGUGGGGAUAUAUAACAUACAAUCAUAAUAUUUCUACUUUGAUUACAGUUUUCAACAUGUGGCCAACUUCAGUGGGUGCACAUUCACUUCCGUGGGUGCACAUUCACUUUCUGAUUGCAAUGUUCCUUUAGCUUUUUGCCUAAUCCCAACGACGGUAGAUUUAUGGAGUAGAUAAGUGAUACAAGGAUUAUGUCAUACAAAGUUUAGAAUUAAGCAUAUAUAAGAGGGCCUCCUCAUCCACUUUGUUAUCUCUAUGCCAUCAAACUGUAUGUGUUUGAACAACAUUAUACAUUACAUUUUUUUUUCCGUAUUACUUGCAUGUGCAAGGUAAUAUGAAGUUUAACUGUUUAAGCAUCUGCUUUCUUUGCAUAAUACAUACUUAAGCUAUCUGACUACCUAGUUUUUAGCAAUCGCUAAUAAGUAAUUCAUAGGUUUCUCAUAAUAGUACCAAAAUCCAACAUAAAUUUUAAAUGGCAUAAGUUAGAGAUAGAAGGCCCAUUGGUGCAUGCAUUUAACCCUUCAAGGUUGAAUUACUAACUUAAGAAAAGGGUCACUGAAGGUAAGUCAAGACAUAUGUUGCGUUAAAGAUCAAAAUAUUAUCCUCACAUGUGACAAUGCAUGAGAGGGAAGUCUCCUUGUCCUAAUAUUAUCAAUAUUAGAUGUUAGAAAUCUAAUGGUAGCUCCAGAUUAAUGAUCUGCUGAAGAACAAUACUGUGUUAACAUGGGCAACAGAAUUUCCUCAUAUAUCAUUGGGAUUGUAGUUCAAACAUAGCUUUCUAUCUUUUCCAUAGUAAUGUAAGAACCAGUGAAUUCAAUAAACAGAACAGAAAACCAAUCGAACCUCCAAGGUGAGCAAUAAGCAUUGGAAGAGAAGGAAGUAAUGACUUUGUAUGUUCAGGUUCCCCAGCAGCUAUGUUAGUAAGGCACCAAGCUGCCUCAAGCAACUGCAAGAACAAUGAAGAUGUAUGGAGGGAUUCAGGAAACGUAAAAUGAAAAUGCUGAAACCAUAUAUGAUGGAAGUGGGAAUUCAUAUUUGGCUGAAAUGAAUGCACAACUCUCCACCAGUAGGUGAAACAGAACUGAUCCCUGAAUAAUGAUUUUUUCUGACAGAUGUGUUCCCAAAUCACCCUUAAUUGGGGGUUGUCUGUAAAUUCAUAUCAGGUUCUUUAGUUGUUUCUAUUACUUCAUUUUGAUAUACAACAAAUAGUGUAGGAGAACCUGCUCAUCUGAGGAUCCAAAAGAAAGGCAUUGCACUAGGAGAGGGACAGCUCCAGCUUGGAGUGCUGCUUCAAUUGGAGGUACUUCAGACUGUGAUAACAAGCGCCUCAAUACACGAAGUAUCUCUACCUUCUUCUGUGUUGCACCUUUUCCUCUAAAAAUUACAAACACCAAAAGUAAGCACUAAGCAGGCCAAACUAUACAGCAUAUUUUAACUGGGUACCUAAAAUUCCAAUUAUUUAUUUUAUUUUCUUCAUCAUAUAGCGAAGAAGUUAAAAGUGUAGUUAAGUUCAUAUGAUGAUGCACUUAAAUGAAGCAUGUGUAUUACGUAGUAAAAUCAAAAUUUCCAGAGUUGGGAGGCCAAUUUCAAAAUGCGCUAAAAAACAGCUAGGAUCCCAUUAUUUCCUUGAAAUUAUGAAGUGAAUGCAUAUGCAGUCAUAAUUGUAUAUGAAGCUUACUAUAUAAGAGAGAGAGAGAGAAAGAGAGAGAGAGAGAGAGAGAGUACUGGAAUGCAAUAGCAGAUUUUAGCUCCAGCACUGUUUGAGAUGUUUUGGAAUCUAAUGCUUCUUUUUCUUCAUCAAUGAUCAUAUCCCCUUCAAAUGGACUUUCACUACCAUCAAUAACUGUAUCCCGGCAUAGGCGCUUUGCUCGUAUUAAAGAUUCUCUUCUUUCCUUUCCCACUGCUAUGGCUUGUUGCCGUCUCCGAUGUGCAGCAGUGUUGUGCACUGAUAAAAAGGAUGCUAAUGUUAUCUACAUAAAAGUCAUUGAAAUAGUAAAAAACGAUAAUAAUGAUAAAACAUCUAAAAAGGCAUCCAAUUUCAUAAUUUCUCUUUGAAAUUAUCAAGAAAUAUAACUCCUAGAGACUUCAAAUACCCUACAUCUUAUUUAACGGCAUCGUCAAAUCAGAUGCCUGAUUAUCAAAAAUGGGUAUAUAACAUGAAGGCCUUGGUACUUUAUUAGCAUUACAGCCUAGCACUAUCAAAAGAUUCAACUUAAACUCGAGGAGUCGCUUCAAACUCAGAUAAAUUGGGGGAAAAUAAUAAUAACCAUAAGAUUGAAUAAAAAGCUUUCGACUUACAAAAUCUAGCUAAACUAGGAAACAAUGAUCUAAAGAAUAUUAAACAAAUUUGCAUUGCAGAAAUGAACCUUUCACAUAGUUAUGUUACUUGCUUCUUCGAAGAAGAAAGCAUUAAACAAGAGCGCUAAACUUGGCCAUUCGGUCAAAGAUUUAAACUAUGCCCGAGACAGAAAUCCUUGAAUUUAGCACUACAGGACUAUACAAAUACAUCACUUCAGAGUUAAGGUCCCGUAAAAUUGCUUGCCUUAACAGAACAAAAUGAACCAAUUAACCAUUAUGCAUUGCCUCAAUGUUACUCAUAUUUAACCAUUAUGCAUUGCCUCAAUGUUACUCAUAAAUCUCUGUAGAAGCAGAUGUUAUCAGAGAACAGCGGGCUGAUUGCGAAAAUCAAUGGAAUACAUUUUGGAAGAUUUUUGUUCAAGGUUUCGUUUAUGCUUAAUCCAUAUCAAAUAGACCUUGUCUUUGUGAGAGAAUUUUAUUCAUGAGUAGGAGGGAUGGACAUAUGUCACCACGAAUAGAGGCUAAAGCAAGAGCUGGAUUUAAUGGUGGUAUAAAAAUUUAGUCUCGUACAAUUAAAUGAGCUUCCUGUAUUUUAUAGAAAUUUGGGGCAAUACAGUCCUUACAUAAGGCGCAGCCUGUCCAACUUUCAAGCAUUAAGAUACAUCUAAAGCAGGGACAGUUAUAAUAAAAGAACUGGUCGUGAUCAAUCAGAUGAAGUAUUGUGUCCUUAUUUUACUGGUAGUACAUACAAAAUAAACAAAAUUAAUUUAUUAUUCGAAUGGCAACAUACGUACUUCACAUAACUACCUUGACUGAUUACUUUCCAGAAAGCCACCUUUUAGUUCUAACUUUCUUUGCAUAUCCUCUAUCACUGGUAGUACAUACAAAAUAAACAAAAUUAAUUUAUUAUUCGAAUGGCAACAUACGUACUUCACAUAACUACCUUGACUGAUUACUUUCCAGAAAGCCACCUUUUAGUUCUAACUUUCUUUGCAUAUCCUCUAUCUCUAAUUGUUCGAAUGGCAACAUACGUACUUCACAUAACUACCUUGACUGAUUACUUUCCAGAAAGCCACCUUUUAGUUCUAACUUUCUUUGCAUAUCCUCUAUCACUAAUUGAAAGCAAUCUAUUUCAUUAUCAUUCAAAUUGCAGGCAUCUGUUCUGAUAUGCAUUUCACAAUAAUGAAGGAAUCAUUUAAUCAAGUCUAAUCAGUUAACUAUCUAGAAAAUUGCACCAAACAUCAAUUGGUUGAGAAAAAAUAGAGUUUAGACUGAUUUUUUGUCACUGUAAGGCUUAAUGUAAUCUAAUCAGAAAGACAAGGAGCUAUUACCAAUCACAUAUCCUUAUAUCCACUGUUUUCUAGUACUUGUAAUGCAUGAUUACGAUCAGGAGCAGCUGAACCAAGCCUUAAAGUUGACCCCCAGGGAGAGAGUUUGUGUAAGCGAGAGGAGGAACUGAUAGGUCGAGAUACCUCCACAUUAUAUACAAGUGAAGGUUGCAUUUUGUAUCCAAACAUCCAAUAUAGGACAAUUUUUCGUAACAAGAAUCCCGUUGACAGGUGUCAGGUGCUACUAGCGCGUGGUUAAGAUCCAAUGCUACUAAUACAUGACACAAAACCAAUCUCACAUGCUAGGCACGACUAGCAUACGGCACAAACAACUUCACAAGCUAGACACAACUAGCAUGUGGCCGCUGGGCUGGCCAGAAACUAGGGAAUGUGAACUAUAACACUGCUACCAUGUUAAAAGGGCUCGAACCCAACCCACAAGAUCAAGCUGAUAGAUGGAGAUAUCCUCCGCAUUAUAUAUAGGCCAAGGUUCCAUUUUGUAUCCAAUUUGGGACUAUAACUCUCAGCAUCUGGGAAAUUUCACCCACACAUCAAUUUUCUGUGAAAUAUAUAGGGUUUUAACCCGAAUUUCGUCGCAAGAAAAGCCUAAUCUAAUCUAAUCUAAUCUAACCCAAUCAGAAGAAACAAGUGUCAUCAUCACCCACAAGUCCCUAAAUCCACUGUCUCUAAGGAGAAGUAGCUGAAUCAAACCCUAGAAUUGAACCCUUGAGAGAGGAGGGGGGUAGGGGGAACCUGAGGAUUUUAUGGGGUCGCGUCGGUGGGAGAGAGGAGGGGAGAGAGCGGCCUCUUCGUCCGCCAUUUUUCCUCGAUCGAAAGCUUCCUCUACUCUACUCUCUCUCUCUCUCUCUCUCUCUCUCUCUCUCCAAUGGUGGUGUAGUGGAGCUCGAAGAAGAAAGAGGAAGAAGACGACCAAGGGCUCGAAAUGCAAAGAAUCAAUUGCAACUGUGACCCUACACAGCAAUAAAAUUCCAUAUUUAUCGCUGCAAAAAUAUCUUUCCCAGUAAAUUAUAAAUUAUAAAUCUAAAAACAAUUAAAAUUAUUUUUUUUCUAUGAACUUACAAAGCUGUUUGGCAAAAAAAUAAAUUAAUAUUUGCAUAUAAUAAUAUUUUUACCAAAUUUUAUUUUAAAAAUAAUUUAAAAGUUGAAUUAAAAUUUAAAUCUUAAUAUUUAAUUUAAAAAAUAAAUUUGAAAUUUGUAAAUUUAAAAUUUACAAUUUGAAUUUUAAAGCUAAAUUAAAUUUUUAAUUUCAAAUUUAAAAUCUAAAUUUAAAUUUUACAUUUAAAAUUUAAUAUUUAAUAUUUAAAAUUUUCAAAUUUCAAAUUUGAAUUUUAAAAACUUGAAAUUUGUAAUUUAAAAUUUUUGAAGUUUAUAAUUUGAAAAAUUAAAACAUAAUUUUUAAUUUUUGAUUAAAUUUUAAACUCUAAAAUUUCAAAUUUUAAAUUCUAAAAUUUCAAAUUUUAAAUUUUUUUUUAAAUUUGAUAUUUCGUAUCUAAAUUUUAAAUUUUAAAAGUUGAAAUUUAAAAAUUCAAAAAUAAAUUUAAAAAUUAAAAUUUUAAAUUAAUUUUUAAUUUAAACUUUGAAUUGAAAAUUAAAAUAAAAGUUUGAAGUUUGAGUCCAAAAUCAUAAUCGGAUUUCAAGAAGAAGGUUUUAGCUGCUUCUGAUUUUGUUCCUCGAAAAUCAGAAAACUGAUUUUAAAAUUAAAAUUAGAUUUUGAAAAUAACGUUGUCAAACACUCUAUUGAGCCGAAAAUCACUUUUGAGUGUAAAAUCACUUUUCAAAAAUUAGUCGGAACACUCCCAACAUUUUAUUGUAACGUCUAAUCAAGAUGUUAAAUUAAUUUAUAUGUAUGAAAACUAUAUUAGAAGUAGGAGAUCCUAACACCUUCUCUCCUCCAAUACUAUGAAACUGUAAUAAAAAGUAAAAAAUAUUUAAAAUACUGAAAUUUUUAAACUUUUCAAAAUAUGAAAAUAACUGCUUUUAGCCACCGCAAAUAUCAAACUAAUAAGUCUUAGAAGCUACGUUUGGAAAAAUAGUGGAGAUUCGAAGUAUUUUCAAUCGGCCAUAAUUAGUAAUCGCUUGACACCCUCAUCCUUAAAUAUUAGAUUCCAAAUUCGAAGCCUAUUGCGAGGCAGAAGAUAAUGCAUUUGUGUAGUACUCGCAUCAACAAAAAUAUUCUUCGUUUCUCACAUAUUUCUAUUUCAUAUAUCCUAAGCUCAAAAUGUAACAUUAUAUAAUUAUUUAAUUAUUCAUGCGAAACUGCUAUUAGAAAUACAAAAAAAAAUAAAUCACAUUUAAUAUUUUAAAAAUAUAUAAGAAGGACAAUAAUGUUUCUAAUAAAGUAUGAUUGAUACUUACAUAAUUUUACCGGUACACAAAAAAAAACAAAAGAAAAAUCUCCCCGACAUUGUAAUAGGAAUUCUCAUAUGACAAUAAGCUGUUGCACUUAAAAUAAAAAAUAUGAUAAUGAAAAAUUGAACCUUUAUUAUAAAAAAAAAAUUGAUAAUUUUUUAAAAUAAAACGGUAAAAAUAUAUGCAAUUAGCUUAAACUUUAGAUCAUUUGGAAAUAACCAUUUAAUCUUUAAUUUUACUUACCCUCCUUUCAUUUUAUUUGAUUUUAAAUAUUCAUUAGUCUUAAAAAACUAUUGCGUGCACCAAGUGUAUUUAUAUAUUCGUACAUUGCAUUUUAUUGAUCAAUCAUCAUUCCAUAUAAUAAUUGCUGGAUCUCUACGACUAGUAAAUUGUAAUUUUUUAGUUAAGAAUUAAAUAAUUAAAUUAAUAACAUAAAAUGGAUGAACAAAAAAUAUAAAAUAUGAUGUACAAAUAUUUGAAUGCACCACAUGCACGCACCAAUUUCUAAGAAGAUAAAUCAAACAAACUAAAAGAUUCUCGAAUAAAAUCGAAAUUUUUUAAAAUUGAAUAGUUAUUCUUAAAUGACCGAGAGUUUAAGUAAGCUCUUAAAAUUCACUCUAAAAAAAAAAUCAAAUCAACCAAUACGACAUAAAAUCAAGCGAUAAUGAAAAAUUUUUAUACCUUCUUUGAUAUUGUUAUUUUAGUUUUAAAAUUAAAUUUUUAUAUAAAAUAUAAGGUGUAUAAAAAAUUCACAAGUUUUGAGCUUUUGUAAAACUAGGCCGCUAUUGAGCCAAUUAGGCGCGGACAGGUGUAUGCUGGUAUUCCCUUCAAAGGCAUUAAUCCGGUCGUGCACCAGGAGCACCGGAAAAGUUUUAUAGAAAACCAUCGCGCCAAGUCAAGAGAAGUUAUAGCAACCGCAAGCAGUUGAAAGCGGUUCUGAUCGGCUGAAGGUGGUCCGAAUAAUAGGGAUAGUGGCAGAUCGUUGAAAUAGAAUAACUGAUCAGUAGGGGGCGACCUAUAAAUAGGGCAACAAUACCCUAAAAAGGGGUCUUUUUCCCUAUAAACAAAAGACCACCCUUAUUUCCUCACAAUUUCCUGCAUUUUCUAGGAAUAGUCUAUCUGUAAUUUUACUGCUUUUCUCUAGGAGUAGUUCGCUAAAGUAGAAUCCUAGAAUCUGUCUGCCCCACGGAUAUCACUCUAUUGUAAACUACAUAUCUGUCCUUAUACUUCCCAUCAGUCAAUCAAUAGAAAGUCAUUUCGGCUCUUCAAGCCGACCAAAGUUCGCUUUGCUUUAGCCAUUCAGUUCUUCUUCCGGUUUCGUUUCCGACCUGCUCUGUACAUUCGGCUCAUUCCAGCCGAACCGAACGGAUAGUAGUGGUUUUCGAACCCGGCUGGCUUGAUCCCUCGUCAGCCGAAUCGCUUGAUCUGUCGAAGGGCGCAAACUUCAAGGGUCACUAUCCGCAGCCGUUCCUCACUCCGAUGCGCUUCCCGAGGAGGAUCUUUGACCGGAUCAAGGGUCGAUAAUUUGGCUACCAACAGGCGCAUUUUUCAAUUUUGCAGAUUCGAUCCGAAUUUUUAAUAAAUUGGCUAAAAUACUUUUAUACCUUUUUCUCUCUUAUUUUUUUUUCUGGCGUUCUUUUUUUUUCUCGCCAAAGAAGGUGAUGGAGGUGAUAGCGGAAACGGCCCCCCUCGCCUUUGCCUCUCAGACCCUCACCCUCGCUCGCGCAACCCCCGCCCUCCUCACCUCCGACCCCACGGAGGCCGUACUGCGACCCUCUUUUUUUUCUUUCUCUCCGACCCUCCUCCAUUGCCUCCGCGGCCCUCCGCAACAAUAGUGAGGACGAUACCGCGUCCUCUCGAUUUGCCUUCGCCCUCCACCUCCACUACAACAAAUUUCGCACUCGCCAACCCACUUCUGGGUAUCUGCAUACCUACCGCCGUCGCUGCCGAUAAAGAGAAAGUAUUUCUCAACGCCGAGAGGCUCGCCGACGAGGAAGGGAGCACGCGGCCCACCCGCCUACCCUAGAGGGCGGCAGCGAGUGCGGCCUCGACAAUGUCGAAGGCGAGGAGAGCAAGAAAUGCACGAGAACAUUUUUGGAUUAGCACUUUUAUUUGUUUAAAAUAAAAAAAAAUAACUAAAAGGCUAAAAACUAGAGAAAAAUAAAGAAAACUGGAAAAGAAGGAAAAAGAAGAUAAAUUUGCACUGUUAAGAUUAAAUUGCACUGUUUUAAAAGAACAUUGCACUGCUAUGGACGUAAGUUGCACUCUUUGAAAUAUAAACUGCACCAUUUAAGAUAAAAGUUACACUUUUUAAACUAAAGUUGCAUUUUUUGAGAGAUAUUUACACUGUUUCUCUUCUUGUUACACUCUUUGAUGUGUAAACUGCACCUUUAAAAUAAAAGUUACAGUCUUUAAAUAAAAUUUACACUCUUUGAGAGAUAUUUAGACCAUUCUUAAAGGAUGAGAGAGUGUAACUUUCGUUUAAAGAGUGUAACUUUCAUUUUAAAUGUGCAGUUUACACAUCAAAGAGUGCAAUAAGAAAAGAAAUAGUGUAAAUAUCUUUCAAAGAGUGCAACUUUUGUUUAAAGAGUGUAACUUUCAUCUUAAAUGGUACAAUUUAUAUCUCAAAGAGUGCAACUUUCGUUUAAAAAGUAUAAUUUUUAUCUUAAAGUGUGCAGUUUACAUUUCAAAUAGUACAACUUACGUCUAUAAUAGUACAACGUUCAUUUAAAAAUAGUGCAAUUUAAUCUUAACAGUACAACUUCAUCUUCUUCUUCCUUAUUCUCUGGUUUUCCUUAUUAUUCUCUAGUUUUUUACCUUUCAGUUUUUUUUUUUAUUUUAAACAAACAAAAGUACUAAUCUAGAGAUGCUCCCGUGCAUUUUUCGCCCUCUUCGCCUCUGACACCGUCGAGAUCGCGCUCGCCGCCGCCCUUUGGAUUAAGCGAGUGGGCCGCAUGCCCCCUCUCUCGCCGACGAGCUUCUCGGCGCCGAGAAGUACUUUCUCUUUAUCAUCGACGGAGGUGGUGGGGAUGGGGGUUCCCAAAAGUGGGUUUGGUGGAUGCAAAAUUCGCUCUCGCCGGAAUGUAACUAUUUUUCUCAUUCUCCUUCGCUGGCGUGCUUCUCGACCCCGAGAAGCACUUCCUUUUCAUCGCUAGCGGCAGCAGUAGAGACGGCGGGUUUAUUUGGCGGGUAGAAUAUCCACUGCAGUGGAGGUGGAGGGCGAAGGCGGAGGAAGAGGACGCGUUACCAUUCUCGUUAUCGUCGUGGAGAGCUGCGGAGGCGGUGGAGGAUGGUCGGAGGGAGAAAAAAAAAAGCGGCGGGGUUGGAGGCGAGUAGGGCGAGGGGUGCGCGGGCGAGGGUGAGGGUGUGAAGGGUAGAAGCGAUAGAGUGUCACGCCCCAAAUUACCAUGUUUCCUCGGGCAUGCCAACAGACCCGCCGUAUAUAUAGAAAUUUUUCGUGUAUACGAAUCGAUAGCUGUAUCUAUAAGUAAGUCAUAGCUACAACCAAGAGUAUAGAAUUGCUAGACAUGUAUAUAUAAAACAGAAAGGAGUUCACCGUACAUACAAAAGGCUACAAAACCACCUCGCUCUAGCAAGUACCACAACUACAUAACAGUAUGUACAUAAAAUCCAAAACUACCUCUGAUAGGUGCUCCUCUAGCAAACGACCAGGGAAGGGACGACUCUAGCUCGCUACUCCGUUGCCUCAGUCGAAAUCAGCAACAACAACAGCCGUAGACAAAGGCUCUGCAAAAAGGUGGCAACAAUAGGGUGUGAGAACUACUGCAAAACAUAGUAGUCCUCGGUGGGUACCGUCACUGACCUCAAUGGCCCACCCACUAAAUCUACAGUAAGAUAAGCAGAGAAUAGUAAGGAAAGUUGGAAAGAACUCUACUGCUAUAUGCCACUAUACUAUCACUAACCAACACCAACUAUCUGUAGACAUAAACAUGCAUCACUAGUUAUCACUGACCCAAUCUCACACGGACUGCCCAAACAGACCCACCCUGCCUGUAACCAAGCUACACCGUACACCGCCGACGGGGGUGGCCGGUCCACGUAAACUGUCCAAACUGAACUGCUGCGACAUCAACGCAAGUCAAAGUCUCACUCCGGAGCGGCACUUAUGGGCGCGACACAACCGAGUAUGAAAGCGUGUCUCUAUCGCGCUCAAACAGGCUCUUACAGGCUAUAGUCAAUGCAAAUGGGUCAAACUGGUCUAACAACCAAAGCUCACGUGCUCGUGGCACAAUCUAAUGCAAGAUACAAAAAUUUGGGUCCACUGUCGGUCCCGACAGUACCCGGCGGUCCAACACAGACUAACUCAACUAUAAAAACUCACUCGGCUCCUCAGCGCGAGCGUAAACUCAACCUACACUAAUAUGAGUAUUAACUACGCACUAACAGCGGUUAUACAAAAGAACAGCAGCUUCUGAAGCUAAAUCUUAUAACUUUUGGAAAAAAUGACAAUAUAGGUUUAACGAGUUUUCUCCUAAGUCAAUUCCAGGUUCAGCAUAUAAAUUUGUCUAAAUUACUACAUCAUGCUCCAAAACUCAGAUUUCAUAAAAUAUGUAUUUUCUAAAUUUAAGCUACUAACAUGAAAACCAAAACAAGAACCACAUGCUGACAACUCUACGACUUAAGAGGAAAUCCGAUGAUUGUAAACAUCAACCCACCUCGAACGCUCAUCCAACGUCGACAAGAAGUCGAAAGGAGAAACUCCUCACGCCCGCUUGACCUCCGAUAGCCUCAACCGGACACAACCAUGACGCGCGCGCAAUCCUCCAAGACGACGAGAGGGGAAAUAAUCAGCUCGUUCCUUAUAAUCACAACGAAAAUGAGCAAAGCUAGAGAGAGAGAGAGGGAGGAGAACUACCUGUGUUCUCCAAGCUUAAGACACAAAGAGAGAAGGCUGGGGGGUCGGUUGGACUUAUCGACAAUCAGAAAGACCAAAUUAUCCCUUACCAAUUCAAUUUGCCUUUUGGAGUACCGGUACUCAACUUGAAUACCGGUACUCGACUCUCUUUUCUCAAACACACGCACUGGGUACAGGUACUAGCCCGAUCCAGUAUUGGUACUGAACAACAGGUACCGGUACUCAGCAUCAAGUUGCGCAAACCUGAGAGCAUCCAUUUCAAAAAUCCCUCUGGGGUACCGGUACUCCUCUUAGGUACCGGUACUCAACACUAAAAUCUUGCACUUUGCAGAUUUCAGUGUCAGCUUUCCACUCUUGCACUGCGCCGAGUCCGUUUUGCGUCCAAUUCGUGCCAAAACGACUCCGAUUUGUCUCGACACCCACCAUACGUGUCGACAAGCCACAAAUACUGAAGUCACACAGGCAGCCAAAUAUCAGGGACACUACAUUGGGGUUGUUUCCGUAUUCGCCUUUGUCGCCUUCUUUGGCGAAAAAAAAAGAACGCGAGGAAAAAAAAAGAGAGAGAAAAAAGUAUCAGAAUAUUUUUGUCAGUUUACUAAAAAUUCGGAUCGAAUCUGUAUAAUCGAAAAAAGCGGCUCAAUUUUGCAAAAGCUCAAAACUUAUAAAUUUUUUAUACAAAUCAGCCUAUAAAAUAACAUUGAAGGGAACAAUGAUACAUUAUUUACAAUUCUUUAGAAACAAGAUAUUUUUAUUUGGUUGCAAAAAAAAAAAAAAAAAAAAAAAAAAAAAACACACACACACAAAAAAAAAAAAAAAAAAAAAAAAAAAACACUUUUUUUUUUACUUCUAAAUUUAUUUUAAAUAAGCUCCCAUCCAAAUUUUGUCGAUCACCAUAAUAAAAGAAAUUUUUUCCUGCCAGUAAAUGAAAUUAUACUUAGAAAAACAAAAGAAAAACGAAAAAAAUAAAAAGGCAACAAUGCCUACGAUGCCCCUCCAAUUUCUUGAUAAUAACAUUUGAUUCUUUAAAAAUGAAUAAUAUAAUUAAGUAAAAUUUUAAAAACUUGGAGAGGGAAAUUAAAAAAAAAAUGAGGGAUUAAGUACAAAAGAAGAAACAUAUAAAUUGACCCACAAUAUAUACAAAAUAUGCCUCGUAGAGCAAGUUGUUGCUUCAUGAUAUUGCCCGAAAUUACACAGCUUUAUGAAUCUUUUAAUAUAUAAAUAUAUAUCACAUUACUGAAAUUCGUUGCAAGGCUCCAAAUCACUGGUACGAAAAUACAAACAACAUACACAAAUUACAUACACACACACAUAAAACACCAGUAUUUCAGGUUCACCCAAGCAUACUAAAUCACCACACAAACAACUAUACGCCAACAGAAACACCGAGUGUUCUUUCUUUCCGCAAAAAUAAUCGACCGUUUUCUUGUUUUACAACUUCGAUCCAAUUUUUAUCUAUUUCGACAAAAGCCAAAAAUACAAAGGGUUUUCUCGCAUAGAUAUAUAUAACUCUGGUACUUGCACUGUGCGAAAACGAAAUUUUGCAUAUGUAUCCCUUUUGGGGCAUGAAUGCAAACAAAUAUGGUUUUCAGAGACAUAGGUGCAGCUACCAACUUCGCAGGGUAACUUAUACGAGAUUCCAAAAAUAUUCAGGCAGAUACUUGCAAAAAAGACUACGAUGCAAAGAGUGGAUCAAAAUUGUAAAAUGAGGAAAAUACAGUAGAUUAUUACGCGAAAAGGCCACACCGAGAGAUAGAGAGAGAGAGAUUUAGGCGCUGCGACCCAUGGUCUGUUCCAUGGGAGGCAUCAUAACAAGGACAGAUCGCGCGUUGAAUCCAGGAUGGGGCAAACGGCGGCGCAGCUCCCGGGCCUCCUGGCAGAGAGCGCAAGGGUGGCACAUGUAGUGGGUCAGGAAAUCACAUGCCAUUUCAACCUGCUCGCGCUUUGCUUCGUCCCCGACCAUGCUUUGGCAGCAGCAGCCGCACGAUCGAGUGAACGCCUCAAAGCUACCCUGAAGCAAGAGAAAGCAUAUUGAGGGAUUCAACGUUUCCUAUCUGCUCCAACUCGGAAACUUAAAAGUGAAAUAUUUAUCAUGAAGCUUUUCUCUCAGUACCUAAAUAUUCAUGAUAGGCCCAUUAGUGCUCAACCACUAAAUGGCAUGCAAACAUAUAAAGAAAACUGACCUACAAAACGUAAGGGAAAUUCGAUGAACUAAAAGCAAACGCCACUGGACAAGCAAAAUGUGAUAUAAGUCAAGAGAUGAGAAGAAAGUUUUCCAUUUGAAAAGCUGCAGUAAAAUAGCAAUUAUUAUCCUGAAACAGUUACAUGGUGCAAUUCGACCCAUAAUGGAUAUCAACUAUGCAAUGAUCCACUCAUCCACCAAAUAAAUGAGGGUUAUUCUAUUGCUAUGCUGACCAGCACCUAUUUUGUCCUUUGGAAGGUCCCAAAAUUUCAAAGCGCUUCCAAUCUUGCCUCCUUUAUGCUAUAUAAUAGCGGUGGCAACAGCCGCUGGAGAAACUUGUGCUUACAUUACCAAACUAAGCCUCAGAAACAAUGUCCAAAAGAACGAAAGCAAGUACGAAAAUGUUAUUUGAAAGGUAGACAGAAAGAACCAUGAUAGGAAAUACGGAUUUAAGUAAUCAACGAAGAAUCCAUUCUUGCUGGGCUAUAAAAAGCUUACUUCGAGAUUGAAUUUAUGGCGAAUAGCCGUGCGGGCAGGAUACGCGAACCAUGGUGCUAUGCAAUUCCACCCAAAGAGAGAGUUUCCAAGACAAUAGAGGCCAGUGUAUGGCAAGCAAUUAUUUGCAAAAGAACCCUGCCCAGAUGAAAGCCUCUCAACAUUGCUGCCGUACAGCACACAAGGAGCAAAACUUCCAAGAAGGCCUGAAACCCAGCAAAAUGCAAUCUUUCAUAUCAUGGCAAAGAUAAAAGGUUAAGAGUAACCAUUGAAACAAAAUAUGCAUGAGGUCUAUUUCCAUUAGUAUGUUUACAUAUGACAAUUAAGGUGAAACGUGUAUAUAAAACGCAAACAAAACCAAUUCACACAUAAGAGCAAACACUUAGGGGGCGUUUGGAUUGACAAAUCUGUAGAUCCAACGUAAUUCAAGUGCAGUGGUAUUUGAGUUUCCCUGAAGUGUGAUUAUUUUUUUGUUGUUUGUUUUGACGUAACUCGUACAGUCUGAAAGUUAAAUUCAAUUACAUCUUCUGUUUAUUUUGAUGUAACUUGGCGCUAAUGAAAUUAGUUUUUUGAGUUCUAUUGUUUGUUUUGAUGUAAGUAAGCGGAUCCCGUUAUCUCCUAAAUAUAGUAGUAAACUUACCGCUAUAAAAUUUAACCUAUUAUAUAAUUAAAAUUUUCAUUAUUAUUUAAAGGUAAUCCUAAUUUAUUGUAAAUAAGGUAAUUCUAACCCAUUAUAAAGGAAAUAGAGUUUAGAUAUUACUAUUUAAUAAAUUUUUUAGAGGAGGUUGAGUGUGGCGGAAGUCAAGUUCGGCACUUUAGAGGAGGAAGUCGAGAGUAGGUGAAGUGAAGGUUUAACGUAACUUGAGUUACAUUAUAUUUUUGACUUACACCAAAACAAAUAACGAAAGUGAAGGAACUUGAGUUCCAUCCCUCCACUUACACCAAAACAAACGGACCCUUAGCGAGUCAAUCCCAAUUCCAUUUAACAAAAAGCUUCUAUCAUACUGAAAAAGAAGCCUGAUCUAAAUUGAAACAAAAGGAGAGAUGCAUCAUACAGGCUCUGAGAUAGUCUCUAAUUGCCAGAUUUGAUGCAUGAAUCAAUUACAAAAAGGAAGAAAUGAUAAAAGAAAAUCCUACUUAAAUAUUAGCAAAUGGAUGUAAACAGCACAAGAGGAAGAUAGUGCAUAAUAGCACAAUUGGGACAGUUCAUCUCACAGUUGAAAAACCCUGUUUUAAAAUCCUACUUUAACCUGUUUUAAAUCCGAUUUACCCUAAGGUACUUCUAGCUCUUCUCAAGUACAACAGCAAUAGGAGAGGCUUUUAUAGACAACCAUAUCCUUCUAUUUGUUCUGAGGUUAAUACAACCCUUAAAAUGUGAAAAAAGAUUGGUCCUAAAAUAAUUGAUAAGAUUCUAAUCAGGAAAUGGAUAUGGCCAUCAACAGGAGGAUUGAUUAAUUAUAUUACAGUUCAAGUUAUCGCAGAUGAAGCUUCCACAGAUGUCCUAUCAAACUCAAGCAUUCAAAGAAGCAGAAUCACACAAAAUGGAGCUUUCGCUUUUGGGGCCUGGAACUUGAAACUCAUUUUGGCAUCCCAUAGCAUCCUGAAUCACCAGAUUUUUUUCUUUUUGCACACCGCCUGGAUUCUGCUUUUCUGUUCCAGAAACCACAUUGUUCGCCAAAUUCAGGAUCUCUAAACUCGCAAUCCUACGUAAAACUAUUUGAUAAAAAUGUAUGAGCCCACCCUCCUUCAAUUAUAGGCCAUUCUAAAAGAGCACUCUGAACAUUAUUUUUCGACAGCUCCUCAAUUUUGAUUUGUCCUUGUUUGAAUUAUUUCAGUCGAUUCAAUAGAUCAAAUUUCACAUCUCUAACUGCUCUUCACCUAAAGAAAGUGUUGCUUCCAUUAUUCAGUAGUCAAUAGCUAACGGAGCCAUUAAUUUUAAUGAAAUCCCCAAACAAAAUGACCAAAAUAACUCAAAUCAAAAAAAUUUAGAGCACACAAAAGUUGACGCGUGUCAAUACAGAAAGAAUAAAAUGCAAGGGCCUACAUCAAAAUGGCCUAUAAUUGAGGGGUCUCCAUAUAUUUUACCUAAUUCUUCAAAUGACGAAUUUAUAUUCCGACCUAGUUUCUACAAUUUUACCACAGAUUUACGGAUCUAAUUCUCAUGAUCAUUCAGAAUCGCUUCUAAAUCGCCAAUCUCAUCAAAAAAACACCCUUCCUAAUUAAAAACCAAAAAAAAAACCAAAAAAAAAAAAAAAAAAAAAAAAAAAAAAAAAAAAAAAAAAAACCAAAAAAAAAAAAAAAAAAAAAAA
rnacentral:lncRNA from 1 species